CUCUACCGAUUAUGGUAUUGCUUUCACCUCAUUCAAACUUGAUCAUCCGCAAAUCAAACCAAACAAUUAUAUGUUAGUAUUAUUAUUACUUUUAUUUGACAAAUCAGUAGUAUUAUUUCAAAAGGUAUGUUUUGUUUGUGUAAUUUGAAAUCAUUAUUAUUAUUAUUAUUAUUAUUAUUAUUAUUAUUAUUAUUAUUAUUAUUUAUUCUAGCUUAUUUACUUGUUUUAGUAGUAUAAAGAAUUUAUAAGUGUGAUUAAAAGUUAAAAUUCUUAGUUUUUGUAAUAAAUUUCUUAAAUUUGUAAAGGUAAUAACACGAUUUAACCAAACCAAACCAAUUAUUAUAUAAAUACUCUAAAAUAAUAAUAAUAAUUUUUUUUGAGAAAAAAUUAUUAUUUAUUUUGUUAUACUCUAAAAAUGAACGCUCGUAUUUUUUUUCUUCAUGUAAAUAUUCUUAGAUCUAGAAAGUGCUUCUUCAUCUCAUUAUAGCAUGUGUUUGGGUGUUCUUGGAAGAAUAAUCGCAGGUUACUCUUGUUGCUUUUUGAUGCCAUGGACCUGCUUAUGAAUUGGAAUAUAUUCUUAGUCAGAAUAAUGGAAAUAGUUUUUUUUCCGAAGUUAUGAGUUAUUAUUCAAGUAUCAGAAACUAGUGAAACAACCAUGUAUGAGUAAACUUGAUUGUGAGAUCUCACUACUACAGGAGUUAUGUUGUUCAGCAAUGUUAAAGUAACAAAGUUGCCUAGGAAGAGGAGAACCGUGCCGAGUAAAAUUAGGAUAAGAAGCUCACAAUCUGCGAAAGUAUAUCCAACAUAUGCUUCUUUUGGUUUAUCACUCAAUUAAAUUUUGCUGAUUUUAUUUCUCCUAGAAAAGAACUGACCAAUGGUUCCUAAAUCAAUAGAAGAUAUUCAACAACAAACAUGUUACUUUGAGGUUCAACAUAUGUUUGAAAUUUGGAUAAACUUUUUUUAAAGCCCCAAAAAAUAAUAAGGAUAAUAUCUGUAUGUUCCCAACAUUAUGAUUUAUGGCUUUUAGUAAAAGUGAUGGAAGAGUAAACUCGGUGAAAGUGAGAGCAGUAAAGAUAGUAGUGGCGAGUAAAAGUGGAGGAACAGAAUCACGAUUUCUUGUUUUGUUUUUAUAAUAUGUUCUAGCGGUGUUUGCCUUCAAUGGAUGUAAAAGAAAAUAAGGGAGGUGAGUGUCAUUUUGCAAAAUAGAGGGGGUAUGAGUGACAUUUUGACAAAACUCAAGGGAGGUCAAUCUAAUUUACCCUUUAUAUUAACCUUCUCCAUGGAUUAUCGGUUAAAGCAACACUACUUGCUUAAAAGAGCAAUUUUUUAGUUUCAAUGAGCCAUCCCGACAUUGAUGUUCUGAAAUCUUGGUCACCAAUAAAAAGUGAAGAUUUUAUAGUACCAAUAGUAAAUGGAUGGUUGAAUUGAUGAAUAACGUUUUUUUUUUUUUUGAAGGAAUGAAUAACGUUGUCAUUUAGUCAACCUAUGUGGAUGCAACACCUAUUCAAAAUGUAGUUGGUGGAAUUGGAGAAAAAAAGGGAGAGAUGGAGAGUGUGUUUUGUUGACUUAUUGUUACUUUACCAGGAGUACCUCUUUUCUUAAAAGAAUUUACACCUUCACUUUUGAAAUAAGUAUGUUUUAGUCAAAAAUAUAUAUUUUAAAAUAAAUGUUAUUUUUCAGUUUUCAAUACAAUAAUAACUUUUUCUUUUUAAUUUUAUUCUUCAACUAAUACACUACUUUUAAAAUAUUAUUUUUUCUUUAAUGAAAAUCAAACCAAUAGUUGAUUAUGAUAAUUUGGUAAAAUAACACCUCUCUUUCUUUUAAUUAAUGCAUUUCUUUAUGUGUGUAAAAUCUUAAACGACAUUUAUUUUAAAACGGAUGAAUUAUAAUUCUUUAGUUCCACAAUACUAUUUGGGAAAUGCUAACAACCACUCUUAGGCAUUUGAGAGCACAUAUAAAUUUUAUUUUGAAAAUUGUACAUUCAAGCCAUUGAAACCACAAAAAGUAAUAUUUUUUUCCAUAAAUUUCAUCAAUCAUUUCUAAUUUUAAAUCAUUAACAAGUGUCUCAGGGCACCUGCUAGUAUGACCUAUUUCUCAAACUUUUGAUAGUAUGCUAAUUGUAACGCCCUCUUUAAUUAUUUAAUUAUUUUAUAGAGUUUAGAGUCCACUUUAUAUGAUUUAUGUGAUUUUAUAUGAUUAUGUGAUGUGUUGAUAUUUUAUUUAAAGACUUCUUUUAUUAUUUACUAGAAUAAGUUUUGAAAAUAAAAUAAAUUUUGAGAUGUGGGGCUGUUUUGGAAUUUAGAAUAGUUUAGUGGAAAUAGAGGAAAUAAGAUAAAGUGGAUUGAGGAGAGGUAUAAGGAGGAAACUAGGUUUAGAAAAGUUUUCACGUGAAAUUGCUUUUUGGAGAAAAAGGGAGAAAACAAGAUAAGAGGAGAACCAAGAGGGAGAGAGACCGCCGAUCAUCAAUACUAAGGUAAAGGUGGGACUAACCUUCUUUAAUCAUAAGUAUGUAAUCCUGAUAAAGGGUUUAACCUUGUAGUUGUUAAUAGGUUUUGAUGUUGUAGAAUUAGGGUUUGAAACUAAAAUUGACUGUAGAAGGAGUAGAUAAUCCGAUGAAUUAUGUUGAUAAUUUGUGAACUUCAAAAAUAAUGUUUUGGGUCAAGUUUUAUAUGGUUUUAAGUGCCUUAUCAUGUAUAGAAAUGGUUAGAGAAUUUUUGGAAUCAAAUUUGGGCAUUGGGAAGUCAAAAUUGAGAUUUUGGGGUGAAAAAUGGGUUUUUCCCGAGUGCUGCACAGUGACAGCAUAUCCUGUUUCAUGUUAUUGCGUCUUUUUCACACCUUUCCGCUUUGAAUUGGGUUUCGGUGUAAACAUGAAAGUUUUAGAUAAUUAUGUUAGCUUUCCAAUGGCUUUGGAUUGACUUGAAAAUGAUUUUUAGUUUUUGAGAUAUGAUGAAAAUACUCCAAGGAGGUCUUAGUGAAAUCUUAUGAAAAUUCAGCAUAACCGUUUCUAAGUUAAUCCAAAACUUAUGGAAUAAUUCCAAAGCUCAAAACUAGAAGUACUAUGAGUUCAAUUAGGGUGUUUAAGAGUAUUUAACCUAUGUUGUGAGUCGACCCUUGGGGUAGGAAUGGAGGUUGUUAAUGAUUAUAAUGAGGUUCAAAGAGGAUGAAUAAGAUGAUUUAUAUUGAUGAUUAAAUGUGAAAAUAUUUAUAUAUUGUGAAAGAUAUUGAUAUCAAAUUGUAAUUGUUAUAUAUGAUGAUUAUUAUUGAUGGUGACUUGCUGCAUAUGUUUAAAUGGUGAUGUCUUGUUGUUGUGAUGAAUUAAUACCAUUAAGAUGUCAAGUUGUUAAGUUGUAAGAUGUUGAUCCAAAUUAUUGGAGUCAUAUGAGAUAUCUAAGUUGUUAAGUCGUAAGAUGUUGAGUCCAUUGCAUACUCAUUUAAGUCGAGGGCUUGAUGCCCUGUAAUGUAUAUUUAUAGGCUUAAUUACACUUUUGGUCCUCGUGUUUUGGCCUACUCACGAAACUGGUCCUGCCCUUUUAAAACAGAACAAAACGGUCCUUCAAUUAUCAUUUUUGUUGCAUUUUUCGUCCUACCCCCAUUUUAUUCUCCAAAAACGCAGAGAAAUGACAGUUUUAAACAUACCCCCUAUACUCAACCAUGAAAUAAACAAGAAAUAAAGCAUGUGGGUACAAAGAAUCCACUUUAUUCAACACACUAACCAAAAAAAACCCUAAUUUCUAACAUAUGUUUAAAAUUAGGUUUUUUUUUGUUAGUGUGCUGAAUAGAAUAGAUUCCUUGUGCCCACAUGUUUUAUUCCUUGUUGAUUUCAUGGUUGAGCAUAGGGGUAGGUCUAAAACCGCCUAAAACUACCAUUUCUCUGCGUUUCUGGAGUUUGAAAAUAGCAGGUAGGACGAAAAAUGCAACAAAAAUGAUAAUUGAAGGACCGUUUUGUUCUGUUUUAAAAGGGUAGGACCAGUUUCGUGAUUAGGCCAAAACACGAGGACCAAAAGUGUAAUUAAGCCAUAUUUAUACAUAUUAUGUUGAGGGUUUGAUGCCCUGUAAGUUGAGAGCUUGAUGCCCUGUGAGCCUAUUUACGCUUAUACGUUGAGGGCUUGAUGCCCUGGUUGGUACCACAUGCAUGAUUAAGAAGUUGAAGUUGCAUAUGUUGAGUUUAAGUUGUAUAAGUCGCAUUGUCGUUGUCGUUAAGUUGUCAAUUGUCAAUGAGUUGUUAAUAAAGAACUAAGUGAAAUAUUAAUAUUUAUUAAUCGUGGUUGUUUAUGUUAUUAUGAGAUGAUGAUUAUGUUGUGUUGUUUAUAUUAUUAUGAGAUGAUGAUUAUGUUGUGUUGUUUAUAUUAUUACGAGAUGAUGAUUAUGUUGUGUUGUUUAUAUUAUUAUGAGAUGAUGAUUAUGUUAUGUUGUUUAUGUAGUUAUAAGAUGAUGUUUAUAAUGUGAUGAUUAUGUCGUUAUAUGAAGAUGUUUAUGAUUCGAUUAUUAUGUGCUAUAUGAUGAUGUAUAUAAUGCGAUGAAUAUGAAGUUAAUAAUGAUUAGAAGUUGAUUUGAGUUAUUAAUGAAGUAUUGUAAGAAGGAUUAUUAUUAUUAAGUGAUGAUGUCUAAGUUGUUAAAUGCAUUUGUUGAAUUAUAUGCUUAUUAUUAUUGAAUGUGAAAUCUCACCCCUUCUGCUUGGAAAUGUUGCUCUUCGUAUGAGUAACUUGCAGGUGAUCGAGUUUAAGUUACUGUUAGAUUGCUGUUGUGAGUGGACUAUCCCUCACGUGUGUCUUUAGGUGCUCUGAUACGUAACGGGAUGGGGAUCUUUAUUGUUUUCCAUAUGUUACGUGAUUUAUUAUGACUUUUAUGUUGAAGACUGUUUAGACUGGAUUUUUAUUAAGUUGUUUAAGUUGAGGCCGUUGUGCCAACAUGAUGUUUUAUUAAGAUAUUUUCCGCUGCAUUGAGAUUUAAUUUGAUAUUAUGAAAUGAUUGAAAUAAAUUGUUAUUUAUUCCAUUUAUGAUUUUUAAGAAGUGUAGCAUUCCGUUUAUGUGGAAAACUCUCAUUAAUUGUUAUGAAAUUUUUAUGUUGGAAAACGGGGUGUUACAAUUGGUAUUAGAGCAGGUCGGUCCGUCCGGCCAAGUAGUUGAGUCGUUUGUGUCGUGUGACAGUUGAAUACUGUCGUUGUAUUUUUCUAAUUAACAGUUAUGUUUUAUUGUGUGAUCACGUUUGACCGACUAACUUUAAUGUGGUUUAUGUGUAUUGUUGAAGUUUCUAUUUUGUUAUAUAUAGUUUAAGAUAUUUAAGCAAUAAUUAAAUUCAUUUUUCUCUUGUGCUUUGAAUUUCGAGGACGAAAUUCUUUUAAGGGGGUAGAGUUGUAACGUCCUCUUUAAUUAUUUAAUUAUUUUAUAGAGUUUAGAGUCCACUUUAUAUGAUUUAUGUGAUUUUAUAUGAUUAUGUGAUGUGUUGAUAUUUUAUUUAAAGACUUAUUUUAUUAUUUACUAGAAUAAGAUUUGAAAAUAUAUUAAGACAUGUUGUGUGCAACCAACAUAUGCAAAAGUAAAAAAGUAAUUUUUAUCCGUGUUAGAAUUCAAUAUUACGGUUCUAUUUCAAGGUUUAACUUUUAGUAAAUAAUGUCUAUAUUAAAUAUUAUUUUCAACAAAUAUUAUUAAUUAAACUAAAUUUUUGUUUUAAAAAGUUCUUGCACUAAUGGAGUUGAAGUCUAACGGAAAGAGUUAGUGUAUGUUUGAUGUCACGGUGGAUAUCCCAGAAUCACGGUGAUUCACAGGGAUGUUACAUAAGCUACAAAGUAGCUUUUGAAAAAUCAUAGUUGAUCUCCGUGAUUUUGACAUUUCCACCGUGAAAUCAAACAUAGGCUUAAACUCUCACAAGAUGAAUCAAUAUUCGAAUAUUGACUAAGAAUGAUACCCAUAUUUAGUGUUAUACAUGUUUCAAAUAAAAUUUUAUAUUUAGUUUUCUUUAUUUUUAUGUUUCAAAUAAAAUUACAUAUUUAAUUUUCUUAUAUAAUUUAUUAAGGAUAAUUUUAUAAAAUAAUUCAUAAUAUAUAUUACAUCCGUCCUUAAAUAUAUGACCUUUUUCAGAAUUAUAUACUGCUGGCUUUGUGAUUCCAGUGAUUUCUUUCAAACAACUUUUUGGUGGUGACACCCUUAAAGUAAAUAAGUAAGGAAGAUGAGGUUUGAAUCAUAUCCAAUAAUUGACUAUAUUAUGACCAAGAAUGUUCUUUUAUCAGAUAAUUUGAAGAAAAUGUUAGCUGUGUACAUUGCAAUAAGUUUUACUAACAUUCCCUAAAAAAAAAAAAAAAAUUACUGACAUACUUUUAGAUGUACUUUUAAACGUACCGUUAAAUAUUGACAAUUCACAAACUUACAUUCAUCUAUAAAUAUAGGACAUUUUUUUUUUAUUUUUAAGUAUUCUCUUUUUAAGGACAUCUUCAUAAUUUCGAUUGGAUUAAUUAUUUUUUCAAUCAAAAUGCCCCCGAUUAGUUUACAUUUUUUGUAACCAAUAAGUAAAUAAUAAAUGCUAUGAAGAAGGAAAAUCGCUAAAGUCGGUAUUAAUUUCCUAGUGAGAGAAACUCCAACUUCCCUUUAGGCUUUCUUUCUCCUUCAUUCAUAAAGGGUAAGUGGUUUUAGGUCAGUUUUUAACCUAAAAUCACCCCUCUAUAUUUUUUUUCUUCUUUCCUUUUCUUUCAAUUUAAAUAAGUGGUUUUCAAACAUAUCAAAUUUUCUUUGUGUUUCGUCGUCUAAGUGUGGUGUUGUGUUGUUCAUCGUCUUGUACGACAUUUGAAUUCGCGUCUUGUCGCGGUGUCCAUUUAGUUCCUAUUGAAAGACCGACAUCAGUUCCGAAAGCAUGGGUAUUUCGAUGACUUAGAUUUUAUCAUAUUAUUUGUAGGCAUUUUACUGAUUAACUUGGGAGCUGUGUGUUUGUUUGCAUAUUCACCCUUUACGUUUUUAGCGAUGUUUAUAUCUGAUGUACUCUAUCAAUUUAAAUGAAUGAAUAUCGUUGUUUUUGUAAAAAAAAAAAUACUAUGAAGGAUAAACUCAGAAAAACAAUAUCAAUAAUUGAUAGCAUGUUUAAUACUACUACUAACUUUUUUAUUUCAUGUGAUUUGGUUAAAGAAAUAUUAUAUUUAAUUUAAAGACGGAGGUAGUGUAUAAAACAAUCCAACAAGAUUGUAAGUUGUUUCCUAAAGAAACAAGCAUUUAUACAAUAAAUGAUUCCAAACUGAAAUUGAUAAACCUGUUUUCAAGCACAGAGGUCUAAAUUCGACUAAUGUUGCAUCACUUGAAACAACUUCAAAAUUAUAGUUUCAAAACUAAAGUAUGAUCAUCAAAGCAAAUAAAACCAUAUGAGGCACAACCUCAAACUUAGGCAUUUGAAGAUUUUAGUGCUCUGUGGGCCAAAGAAGAACAUAUCAGCAAACAUUGCAAGGUACCCUAAGCAGAAGAAGCAGGUUGAUGGUUUAUGACCAAUGGAGGACGAAGAGCUCUGUGGGUUUCCUCCUUCUCUUUGCGGGCCUUGUACAUCUCCUCUGUCUCAACAACAACUAACCUCUUGACCUAUAUCAAAUACAAAGUUUACCAAUGUUGUUAGUAUACAGGGAGAUAGGUCAUUUCAAAAUGGAUAUGAUAUAUCUUGUGUUGAAACCUGCUGGAUCAUUCCCCUAACAGUAGGUGUGUUCCAUCGCAUAACAGUUCGGUUGCAUUUGCCGAGGCGUAGUGCUUCCAAAGUGCGCCUAUGUUGCUUCCUGGUCCCCGGAAUACCCCUCACUAGCGUUAUAUAGAGAUUGGGGCUAUAAGCAAUUGGGACACAUGACUUAUAUGCCUUGAACGCAUUCAUGCUCAUGCCUAAAACUUGAAGUCAGAACAGCAAUGGCAACAACGAAUCAAGUUAACACAGUUUUUUAUUAUCUAACUGGAUAGCAAUCAUAUUUGGCUUGUAUGCACAAUAAUAGAUAAAGAGAAAAUUUAAAUAAAAUUGUAACGAAAACACUUAGAGAUUGGUUUAUGCAUAUGGUUCAAUUAACUGAACCAAAAUAAACAACUCCAUUUUAUGGUCCGGCUUUUGCAAACUGAACCAUUUUCCUCCCCUCACACUAGUUUUGAGUUUUGUGAACCAAUUUAACCGAUCGGGUUGUUAUAUUAUAUGACAUGUAAACCGAUUUUGAUUCUGAACUAGUUUAAAAUCAGUAUUUGCCUAAACUGUUAACACCAAAUCCCCAUGACAUUUCAAAAAAUACAUGCUAGCAAAUUUUUGCAAUACAGUGACACCAUACAUCACGGUUAUGCUUUCUAUAUGUGACCACAUUAUAACAAUCAUUUAAGAGAUUAAACAUUAUAUCAAAUUUUUAAAAGAUGAAAUAUAUAGCAAAUUUUUGCAAUAAAGUGACACCAAACAUCACAGUUAUGCCUUCCAUACUAAAAGUUGUACUACACCUAAAAUUGACAACUGAUGCAUCUAAUACGAACAGUUGAUAUUCAUUCAGAAUCCUAACAACAAACUGAAAAACAACAAGCUCAACCAUAUUUAUAUAUAAUAUGUUGGCAAUUGCAUAUCGAAGAAAAGAGCGGUUUGUUCAAAUUUCGCUAUGCAACAGUGCUAUAACGCCGCUAUAGCAGCUACUUCACAAUAUUUUGUACUAAAACUGAAAGGUUAUUAUUCAAUGACAUUAUAUACUGAAACUGAAAGGUUAUUAUUAUUAUGAAGCAUGAAUUGGGAAGCACACAUGAGAACGAGCAAUCAUUCGAUGUUAUGUUAAACUUUCUUCAAUACUAAAGCCAGCAGAUUCAGACCUGCCAGGCGAAAUAUAGCACAGCAAAACCCACUAAACAAAAAAAUGAUUGAGUUUAGUUGUAUCCAAUUUAAGCAUAUGUUGCAGGAAAAUUCAUGAGGAAUGAACUAAGAAAAGACAUCAGAAGAAUAAUGUGCUCCUUGCUGAAGUUUUAAUCAAGAAAACAAAAGCAAGGCUUUAUUUAAAUUUUCAGCUCUAUACCAUACUAUGACAUAUGAAUAAUGAGAAACACGCUUAAUCGGAACAAUCUAAAUUCUACAUAAUCAUCAAGCUAUAGUAAAAAGAAAAAAAUUCUCUAAACUUUUUGUCUCUGUUGUAUGGACACUUCUGAUUGAAGGCGUGUCUGGUGUUCAACACCAACACAUGUGAUUAGACUCAACUAUGUUAUUUUCUUAAAUUACUAGCAGUGUGGACGUGUAAGUGUGAGGUAACCAUGCUUCAUAGCAGUUGUUUGUUCCAUAAUAAACCAUUCAUCAAUACUUCCACGCCCAAAGAGGAAGCUAAAUGAUUAAUCUCGUACAAGAGAACAAUUAGAUUGAUCAACAUUCUUUUUGUUAACUCAUCUUCCUCGUUUGAAUUAAUAAAAGCAUAAUUAACAACCUAAACCUUAACAUUGGAUCCAUCAAUCAAUGAAAACACAAAAUUUGAGGGCUUUUUCAGUAUGAAAGCAUAAUGUGAGCAAAGUAAGAGAAUCAAAGAGUUACCUCCUACACGGUGGUUCCGUCAAAACAGGGGCCGGGAUGGCAAGGAAAGUAGCGGCCGUCGGCGCUAAAGUUGGGAUUGAAGGGGAACGCUGAUUUGAGAAGGAUGAUGAACUUUGCUUUCAACUAAUUCUCUUUUAUGUCUCUAUUCCCAUCUCCGAAAUUCAGUCUAUUCGAACACCAUCUCUAACUACAACUUAGAUUAAGCGAAUCGUUUUACAUGAGUAUCAACAAAAUGAUUUUUUUACGAGAAAAUGAUUAAUAAUAUUGAUUUUAAUGAUAAAAUAUCCAUCAUAUAAUAUAAUACACUUUUUUUUUAACCAAAAGAAUACACUAUUUUUAUAGUUUUUUUUUUUUUUUUUUAUGAUCAGGAUUUGAACUCCGGAAUUUACAAAUACCAUAUACUGUGCAUACCAACUGAGAUAAGUUUAUAGUUAAUGUGUAGUUAUAAAUAAUUAAAAUGUAAUAAACAAUGUAUAUUAAUGAAAAAGAAUAAUAUACAUUGUAUUAGUAUUAUAAAAGAGAUAAAUAAACCGCUAAAUUGGUUCAUAUUUUUGUAAGUCGUUAUCAAAGUAGUCAUCAACUCUAUUGAUAUUUCAAAUUAAUUUGUGUCUUAAUUAAAAGUUUCUCAAUUAGGUUUUUAUCUUUAUGUUUUUGUCACAAGGCGAAAGACUUAAUUGAAAAAUCUUUUAAUAAAAACUAGUUUGAAAUAUUAAUAGAGUCACAAACUAAUUUGAGAGUGACUUAUAAAAACAGGAAUCAAUUUGACAGUUGAGACAAAUCAUUUUAGACAAAAAUAAUUAAUAAAAAUAAUAUCUAAUUUGAGACAAAAGAAGGAGUAUUAUUUUUAUAACCGGAUGUUUAACAACAAAAUUAGCGGUUAGUUAAUAAUUAGGCUUGGUUUGUUUAAAAAAUAAUCUAUUUUUUUAUUAAAAAAAAUUACUUUUGUCGUUUUUUAUUAGGCUAAACAUCACUUUUCACCUCUAAAUUUUAAGAUGUUGCGAUUUUGGUCUCUUAUUAAAAAAAAUGACAAUUUGCCCAUUUCGUUCCAAAAAUUGCUGAGAAGACACUACGUGUCCCAAAACAUGGGUCAUAAUCGCAACUUUUUGAGAAGAUAAGGGGUCAAAAUAUCAGAUUUUUCUUAUGUUAAGGGGUCAAAAGAACAUAUUUCUCUAAACAUGGGUCACGUUUGCCAUUUUAGCCUUAACGGGUGAAAAAUUCAAUUUAGCCUUUUUAUUAUUAAAAAAACCACGAUAAAUUCUUCUUUCGUUUGGAAUUUUUCGUAAGAAAUAACAAUUCUUUUUUUUUUUAAGUCGAAACAAAAGCAUUCUUAAUAUAUGUUAUAGUUUAUUGUGCUAAACAGUAAUUAAUUAGUUGACAAUAUAAUCACUAAAUGAAUUGUAAUGGAUUGAUCCAUUUUGUUAAGCCCAUGAGAAACCGAUGCUUAUGCAAUGGGUUGAUCCAUUUAGUUAAACCCACGGGAACAACUGCUUAACUAUUUAAAUGAGAGACAAUACUAAAUAAUAAGAUAAAAACCCUAAUUAUAAACCUAAACUUCUAUUAGGUAGUCACUCCUCUCAUGCAUUUCUCUCCUUAAACCGAUAUCUUUGAUAUAAAGGUAUGUCGUUAAAUUCAUCUUUGUUUUUGUUUUUAGAUAUGUUAUCACUUGUAUCCAUUUUCAAUGGCUAACUAUUAAAAUUCCUGCAAUUGGUAUGAGAGUUGUGUGAAACAUGUUAUAGUUAUUGUAUUCUUUGACAGAUGAUUUUCAUUGUGGCGUUUAUCGAUCAUUUAGUUGUGUUGCAAAUUGCGACGACUUCUCAAAAUAAAUGGUAGAUUCAUCAAGUUUCUCAUUGAUGGAAUGAUAUCUGCGAUUUGAGAUUUUGAAAUGAAACUUUCGAUAAAACCCCUUUUAUUAUUGGGUUUUGCUAAUCAUUGCUCUAUUAAUGUAUUGGUUUCAACAACAUUUUGACUUUUAAUCUUGAGAGUUUUGGUUGCUCGUUUACUGUAUUUUGUUUAAUUUUGCAACCUCCAUUUUGUUUUUGUUUGAAGGCAUGACUUGGCCUCUAUUUUUUUGGAAAUUGAUUAAAAGAGGUUUAUCGCCUCUUAGUUAUUAUAUUAUACCAAAGGAUUAGAUGCAUCAAAACUGAUCUCUAGACCUAGCUUAAUCAUGCUUGAAUAUUGAAUUCAAUAUAUAUGGCUACUGUGAAUUGUGAAACAUAUAUUCCUUAAUUUUAUUAGAUUAGAUAAAAAAUUAAUCUGGAUCGAAAAAAAUAGUAAGGUUCCUCUUAGAUAUCAAUUUGGGCAUUCAACCUGUUUUUUUUUUUUUUUUUUUUUUUUGUCUCCGUUGUAUGACAACAAGAGCACUUGUUGUACAUUUUUUAUUUAUUUAGUAUUUUACACUCCUGCACUUGUUAUCUUUUGAUUGACUUUGGCAUAUGAUUUCAGUAUUAUCGAACCACAUUGAUAAUAUUGUUGCAUUGCUGUUGGAAAAAUCGAGAUCAAUCUUGAAUAUUUUGAGUUUUGCUAAUCUGAGAUUGAUCUAUAAUUAAAUUAAAAGUUAUAUAUAUAUAUAUAUAUUUUUUUGAAGAAGUUAUAUAUAUACUCAGAUUUUAUGCCAAAGAAUGUGGCGAAUUUCCUUGCUCUAUUUGUGACACUUUGGUAUUUUUUAAUGUGUCAUUAGGGAAUUUAAUUUUAUUCCAUAAUCAACCAAUUUAAUAAUACUUUAUUUAUCCCCGUGAGCUUAGCUCAGUUGGUAGGGAUAUUGCAUAUUAUAUGCAGGGGCCCUGGACACCCCACUUCUCCACAAUUAAAUUGUGUGAGCUUUAGCCUCUAGGCUACUUGACAAAAAAAACAAAAAAAAAACUUUAUUUAUUCCUCAAAAAUAAUACUUUAUUUAUUGAAUAAAAUCACGAUUUCAUAUACGCCCAGAAUUUUGUUGAUUCUAAAAUUAUAUUCUUGAUUUUUGGGAUUUCAUUUCUUUUAUGGAAUCUUUAUAUAUUUGGUGAUAUUUGAUUUGAUAUUUGUAUGUUAUUUUAUCAAUAUAUUCUCAAGAUGUGAGUUUAAAAUAUUUUUUAUAAAAUUUAUUUUGUAGCAGUAACGCUAACACAAUUUUAAGUGGCACGGUUAUGAAAUAUAUUUAGACUCAAUUUUAUUGAUUCAAACACUAAAUAUCAUAUGUUUGAAUUCAUAAUGAUUAUUUUAUGAAGUAUGUAAAUAUUUUGCUGUUGAUUAAAUAUGGGAAGCGUAUGCUAUUUUUUAUUAGUUUUAUUUAUUUAUUUGAGCCUAAAAUAUUCUCUAUCAAAAUCUCUUUUAAAGAAAAAACACGAAUCAUUAUUACUAUUAUUAUUAUUAUUAAAGUGUUAUAAAUUUGAAUUAUUUUAGGUUCAGUUUCAUUAUUUGUGACACCAAAUAUCGUGUUUAUCAAUUUAUAAGUAUUUGUGUAAAUUUCAUGUUGUUUUGUUGGUAUUUAGAUUGCUCACUUACUAAAAUUAAAAUUGUCGAAGAUAAUUGUUUUGAGCGCACAACCACACUGUGCUCUCCCAUUUGCAAUUUGCGGACGACACGUUUUUGUUAGGUGUUAAAAGUUGGACGAAUGUUCGUGCUUUGAGGGUAAUAUUGGUUCUUUUUGAGAAUAUGUUUGGUUUGAAGGUGAACUAUCAUAAGAGUUUGUUGGUGGGUGUUAAUAUUGCUGACUCUUGGUUACAAGAAGCUGCUUCUAUUUUGUAUUGGUAAAAUUCCUUUUUUGUAUCUGGGGCUGCCCAUUGGUGGUGAUGCUAGACGUUUGAAUUUUUGGAGUCCGGUUUUAGAGCGCAUAAAAUCUAGAUUGUCGGACUGGAAAAGUAGAAACUUGUCUUAUGGUGGUCGAUUGAUUCUCCUUAAGUCUGUCCUGUCUUCACUGCCUGUCUACACCCUUUCUUUUUUCAGAGCUCCCGCAGGUAUAAUCUCUUCCAUUGAAUCUAUUUUAAUUAAAAUAUUUUGGGGUGGGGGUGAGGAUCAUAGAAAAAUUGCUUGGGUAGAUUGGAACUCUGUUUGUCUGAAUAAGGGGGUUGGUGGUUUGGGGGUAAGGAGUCUACAAGAAUUUAAUAUUGCUCUUCUGGGUAAAUGGUGUUGGAGGUGUUUAGUGGAUAGGGAGGGCUUAUGGUAUAAGGUGUUGUAUUCUCGUUAUGGGGAACAUAGAGGGCGAUUAAGGGAAGGUGGAGUGACGGGGUCAGCUUGGUGGAGGGAGAUAGUAAAAAUUCAAAAUGGUAUAGGUGUGGAGGGUGGGAGUUGGUUUGAAGAAAGUAUAACAAAACGUUUAGGUAAUGGCUUAAAUAUUUUCUUUUGGACGGAUUGUUGGGUGGGGACGGAACCUUUUAUGGAGAGAUUUAGGAGACUUUUUGACUUAUCGAUUCAUAAGGAUUUGUCAGUGGGAGAGAUGUUUGCUUUAGGUUGGGAAGAACAUGGGGAGGCUUGGAGGUGGAGACGUCGUCUGUUUGCUUGGGAGGAGGAGUUGGUAGUGGAGAUUAGGAACUUGAUUACUAACGUUAUUUUGCAGGAUACUCAAUCAGAUGUUUGGCUUUGGCGACCUAAUAUUGGUGAUGGGUACACUGUUCGUGGUGUGUAUCAAAUGCUCAUGAGGUAAGAGAUACACAAUCAUGAUAUCGUUUCGGAUGCUCCUUGGCAUAAGAAUGUUCCUUUGAAAGUUUCUAUUUGUGCAUGGCGUCUUUUACGCAAUAGAUGGCCAACAAAGGAUAAUUUGGUGCGGCGAGGCGUUUUAUCUCAUGAUUCACAAUUGUGUGUUACAGGAUGUGGUCAAAAUGAAACCGUAGAUCACUUAAUUAUUCAUUGUCCUAUUUUUGGUGAUCUUUGGCAACAAAUUAAAUCUUGGAUUGGUGUGUUUUCCGUAGAUCCUUCUCAGGUUCUGGAUCAUUAUUAUCAAUUUGUUUUCUCUUCGGGUAGCUAUGGUCCAAGAAGGUCGUUUCUUCAUUUGGUUUGGCUUUGUGGUAUUUGGGUUCUUUGGCAUGAAAGAAAUCAGAGACUAUUUGUCAAUACAACAAAAACAACUACACAAUUACUUGAGAAGGUUAAGAUUAUAUCUCUUAAAUGGUUGAAAGCAAAAAAUGUGUGCUUUCCUUAUGGUUAUCAUAUGUGGUGGCAGCGUCCCCUUGACUGUUUGGGGAUUGGCUGAUGUAAUUUUUCCUUCUGCUCGUUGUUUUUGUGGUUUGGUUGGAACUUUUUGUAAUCUUGCUUCGAUUCCUUUGGCACUUCUUGUGCUAGGGAUCAAAACUUUGUGUUAAUAUAUCUCAUUUUGGUUUGUUAAAAAAAAAUAAAAAUAAAUUGUUUUGAGCAUCGUAAGGCAAUUAAAAUUAUAGCAUCCAUAUAAUCGAGUAUUAAUGUUUUUUUUUUUUUUUGAAGAAAUAAUCGAGUAUUAAUGUUAGAAACAUUCUUUCUAGUACUAUCUCCAACACUCUUUCUUCUAUUGGAUGAAACUCUAUUUUUCAAGUGAGGUACCCAUUUAAAUUUUACUUAAUAAGAGAAUGAGUGUUAGAGAGAGAGUUAAAAAGAGACUGUUCAUACAUUUUUUUUUUUUUUUUUUAUCUAUUACAAUUGUUUGUUUUCGAUUUGUGAACCAAGGUGAAAUCGAUGACAUUGUAAAUAUUCAAAAUGUCGUCAAAGCUUAAUGACUCUAAUACAAAGAUGAUUGUCUCAUUACAAUGUUAGUGUAUUUUAAUUAUAUUUUUAAAACAUUUGUGACUUAUUAUGUGAUUGCAAAUAUGGAGAAUUUUUGUAGCAUUUUAUUCUCUUGUUGUUAUUAUAAACAUGCAAUCACAAUAGAUUUUUUUUUUUUUAAAAUUGGUGUUGUUUAAUGUGAAAUCGUAUAUAAGCUUAAAUCUGUGAUUUUUUUUAUGAUUCUCAUCCAGAAAACUUGAUUGAAUUUGUGACUCUGUUAUAGUACUACAGAAAAUUAUGGACUAUUGAAGACUAUUUGAAUUCUUGUAGAAAUAUAAUAUGCAGUUCAAUGGUUUGACUUCAGUUUUGAACCCCCAGUCCAUUGUUGACUCGAUCAACGCUGACGUGGCACCCUAAGUGAGAUGCCACGUGUCAAUUUUGUUUUGCCUUGGGGGUUCAAAAGUGCCAAAGAUUCAAAAUAUAGGGGCCUGUUUUGUAUUUAAAUUAGUUAGGGCUUCAUAACCGCAACUUUUGGAAAGAUAAGGAUCCAAAAGUGCAAUUAAGCCUAUAUAGGCUCUGUUUGGUAAAAAUAGCGGAUAGCUGAUAAGCUAACUGAAGUGUUUGGUAAAAAUAGCGGUUCAACUAACUGAUAAUUGUAAAUGACAUAAAGGGUAUUCUUAAUUCAUGAUAAAAAUUAUAUCAUUAAUUUAAGUAUUUGUAAUUUUGUAAACUAAUUUUUCUUUAAAAAAAAUACUUUAAAUUUAUUAAUUUAAUAUAUCCUAUGUAUUAUAAAUUAAAUUAAUUUUUAUUCACUAAAAUUUUAUCUUAUAUUUAUUAUCAUUUAAGUGUUUCCACUUUAUAAAGAAAAUAACAUUACGAAGAUAUAUAUUUUUUCAAAAAAAAAAAAAAAAAAGGCCAGCUGAUAUAUAUACAAAAAUUGGAAUAAAGGGAUAGUAGUCUUUAUUACGUAGCUUAUUAUAAAAAUUAUAAUGGAUAAAAAUAAAAUUUAAAUGAAAUAAUAAGGGUAAAAUUGNAAAAUUAUAAUGGAUAAAAAUAAAAUUUAAAUGAAAUAAUAAGGGUAAAAUUGGAAGAAAACGUGAGAAACUAUAAGCUAUAAGCUCAAACGCUACUUGGAAUAGCUUCUGAAAAAUAGCUUAUAAGCUCGUGAAAUAAGCUAUAAGCUCAUGGUGAAAAAAUGUUACCAAACAGAGCUAAAAAUUUUGUCAAACGAGCUUAUAAGCUAUAAGCUAAAAGCUCUUUUUUGAGUUUCCCAAACAGACCCAUAUAAUAAAUCUACAUAUUCAUCUUCCUUCCUUCUUCACAACAGUGGAGACACGACAUUUAGGCCCAACUUGAGUGGUGUGAGCCAACCACUAAUGAAGAGAGCGUUUUACGGGCUUUCGUUGACAAGAUUUAGGCCAACUCCAGUGGUAUGAGCCAAUAGUCGAUGAUGAGAGCGGUUUAUGGGUCCUCAAUGACGGGAUUGGGUAAAGAAGUGAAAGCAGGGUUUCGAGUUUGUUGCUGUGCUGUUUUUGGUUGGCGAUGAUUGUGGCAGUUAUAUGUUUGAUUUUCUGCGAGUAUGCAUGUGGGCAAGAAAGCUUUGAUCUCGGUGGUACUCAAUAGGGUUGAGAUUAUCAUUGUGUCUCUUACUAAGGCUUUGUUUACUUGGAAUCAUAUUUCAAAGAAGAAAAAAAGAGUUCGUUUAAAGAUGCUUAGAUAGAUUCACUUGGGGUUCUACAAGCACUGGGAAACACGUAGCAUAUUCUUACAAGAUAUUAUAUAGCAAAACCUAAAAUGACUCUCAUAACUUAGAAAAUAAAGGCCCAAUAGCAUAUGCAUAAUCUUAUUAUCUUACGCCUCCUAACAUGAAACUUCUAGAGUUUUUCAAACAAAAAAUAUAUUCAUUACUAUAAAACGAAAACAACUAAUAUUCUAAUACUCACCCCUCAAGAAAUAUAUUCAAGUAAGCUUUAAACCUGCUACAAGACUAACCCAGAAAAUAACUAAACCAAUUAAUAUCAUAGCCAAUGGAGAGGAGUAACCAAAGAAGCUGAAGCGAUGACACUGUAUCAAAACAAAUUCAAAUCAAACAAAAGAGCCUAUAGAAGGAGAACCAACUAAAUUGUUCAAAUAUGUCUUUAAUGAUAACUCUUCACAAACAAAUUAUGAGCAUUAUCUCCACUCAUCACAUUAUCCAAAACAAACACAAUAUUAUGAUGCUUCAUAUUCAAAUUGUGAGCAUUUGGAACCAACCCAACAAAUUGUGAGAAUUACCUUGACUCACCAAAAAAAACAAAUUCUAAGCAUUAUCUUGCCUCACCAAACAAAUUGUGAGUACUUUCAUCAAAUAAACAAAUAAACGAACAAACAAAUUGUGAGCAUUAUCUAGACUCGCCAAACAAAGUCAUAUCAAGAGACGUUAUGAUAAUCCAAACCCUUACAAGCACCACCAUGAUCACAUUUUUAUUGCCCAUAUGCCCCAUAAAAUACUCCUAAAAAAAUAAUACAGAUAAUGAUUCCGCCAUCAUCACCAACCAAAAACCACACAACACACCCCUCGGAACACUAAACCUUACUUUCACUUAUUUACCUAAUCUUGUCAUCGACAGCCCAUGUACUGCUCUCCUCAUCAACUGUUGGCUCACACCACUCAAGUUCUGCAUAGAUCUAGUCUCCAGCGGCUCCUAAACCGCUCUCCACUCAAGUUGUUGGCUCGCUUCACUUGAUUUGGGCCUAUAUCUUGUUUGUCCACCGUUGUGAAGAGUGGAGGAAGAUGGAUACGUAGAUUCUACUCUCGGGAUGAUACCAAGCAUUCUACUACCCAGCUCCCCAUAUUUCAUUGGGUCGCCGUCAAUCUAUCGAAUAAAACGCGUUGUCAGCUUUUUAGGUUUUGGUUUGGGUCGAGGACCAGACACGACUAUUCUUUUACGCACUUUGCCUAAUGGAAAAUAGUCGUGUCUGGUCCUCGAACUAAACCAAAACCCAAAUAGCCGACAACUACAAAUCAUUCUAUGCAUACACUGGCGGCGAACCCAUGAAAUUUGGCAAGCUCGAUAAACGCUUGGUAUCAUCUCAAGAGUAUAUCAUAAAUCUAUGUAUUCAUCUUCCUCCCUUCUUCACAACGGUGGCGACACGAGAUCUUGGCCCAACUUGAAGAGCGGUUUAUGGGUCGUCAAUGACGAGAUCAGGUAAAGUAGUGAAAAAAAGUUUGUUGUUGUGCGGUUUUUGGUUGGUGAUGAUAGUGGCAGUUAUGUGUUUAAUUUUCAGCGAGUAUGCAUAUGGGCAAGACUUUGAUUUCGGUGGUACUUGUUAGGCUUGAGAUUAGCACUGUGUCUCUUACUAAGCUUUGUUUACUUGGAAUCGUGUUUGAAAGAAAAAGGUUUGUUAAAUAAUGCAAAAAAAUGUAACAUCAACUUAGUUCCUUGAUAAUUUCAUUAUUGGUACUCCUUAAAAAAAAAUGCAUGAUUGUACCGUGACUGCAUGAACUUAGGAGUUGAACUAAAUAUUGAAUCCACGGAAAGACGACGAUUCCUUUCAUUAAUUAAAAUUUGAAACUUCUAAUCACAUUAUAAGUGAUUAUGAUGAUGGCCAUUGAUCAACUUCUUCGGGGAGAGGGAGAAAACAAUUGAAACAUCUUCUUUUUUCGGAUUACCUUCAAUUAUUGAUAGUGUUUUUUCUUCCAAAUCGAUAACAGCGGUACAUAGCGUGUGAAGCAAUGGACCUAAGAAUAAGGAAGAAGAAAACUGUGAUAAUCAAAAGAAAAUUCAAAAGAAGGGGUUUAUAUGUAUCCAAAUUACCUGUCAUAUAGAUGGGAUUUUUUUUGUCAUCCGCGUCUCCUAGAAUUGACAGAAAAUCCUCUUUUGUUGUUUUUGUUAGGACAUUUGCCCUUUUCUGCCUGCUGAUUGAACUCUCAUCUUGUGCCUUCAAUUUAACAUCCAAUGACUUUAGUGAUAGAAACUUGUAAAUAGCUUUUGAAUACAACUUAUGAUAUGUUUAUAAUUUGUUUUCCGCUUUUUUUCAAUAUGUUUAUUAAAAUAGUUAAUGAACAAAGUCCGUAUACCGUCAAUCUGUGAUUGUCAGAUCAUAAUUAAAGUUCGACUUUAAUCAUAACCACCUCUAAGGUCAUGCAUAUGAAGGCUGCAAUUUGAUCUGACAAUAUAAAAUGCUGACAGUGUAAAACCUAAAACAUUUGACACUGAAAGUGCAUGAUGAUUAAAUUCAAAUCUUAUCUUAUACGAGUAAUACAAUUAAAACUGAUCUUUACAAGACUUGUAUCUGUGACUUAAAUGCACCCCCAAAUAUAAAGUGGAUUGAAGAAAAUGGCUAGGUAUCUGUCAGUAAUUAUAUGCAGUGUUAAUUCAAUAUAUGAACGAGGGUGCGUGUGUGUGUGUGUGUGGGGGAUAAAACAAGACUUGUAUUUUCUGAAAAACUUACCUGAUUAAUAUGUAGGUGACGGUACAUGUUUGCAUGGAAGAAAGGCGUUUCUCCAACCUCGUGAAUUGAAAUUCGCUUUUUGGAUGCAGUUUCAACAUUAACAAUCCUACGAGUACUUAUUUCAAUUAGGUUAUAAGAAUGCCCCACUGAAAUUUCUGAUGAACGAAUCCUCUGUUAAAACAAGAGCAUAACAUAUUAUAAACAUUAAAUUCAUAAGAGUUCAUUAAAAUUUAAAAAAAUGCAAAGGCUCUAAAAUCAAACAUUUAUAGCAUCGUCAAUGCCAGUGGCUUCAAGAAUGCCUCGCGAAAUGAAGUUGCGCCCAAUCCCACCAGCUACAAUUUCAUCUUCAGCUGGUGGUACUGAAUUUAGAGUGAAUGCCUAAUGAUCAUAAAGCAAAUUUUGUUCUUAAUACUUACUUUAAUAUUAAGAGAUCAUUUGAAAUAAUAGGGAAUUUUUACCAAUCCAUUGCUAUUAAAUGCAAAUGCAGAGCUUGGAAGCUCCCCAGCAUAUGUAUAAGCAACAAAGAAUAGCCCAUUUGGCAAUAUUCCUUUAAUUAAGUAGCUGCAUAACAUAAAGACCAAAAAAGGAAAGAAUACUUAUAAAGCAAUUUUAUUUGAAUUCGAGAACAAAAUAUGAAUAUGAAUACAAACGCUUACGUGUGACCAACAAGAACAACAUUUGCAUCCUCAUUGUGUGCUGCAAUUGCCAUAGAUUCAUCAACAACAAGAACUGUAGAACACUCAUUUGAGGAAUCAUCUUCUAAACUUUUCAAUCCUUCUUUCGGAACAAAUGCAAGAAUUUCCUUCUUGAAAUUAAUAAGUAAAAUCUGCUCACAAAAAAAAAAAAAAAAAAAAAAAAAGAUGUUACUAUUAAUUAUACAUACAUGCAAUAACAUUGGUGUAUGUUUCUUUCUUUCUAGUAGAGGAAAUUUACAUCAAGAAGAGGCACACCACUUCCAGCUGCAGUCCCCAAGAGUUCAUCCCAAUACAUAGGGAAUUUGGUUUGAUUAUUAUGAAAAAGUGCUUUGAGAAGUGAUUCUGAUUGAGGAGGAGUUUGAGUUUGAGCAAAGGGUCUAAGCUGAUUUUGAAGUAUGGUGUCAUCAGCCACUCUGUUUUUUAUCCUUUGGGAGAAUCUUUGGCCUAUUAAGAAACCCAUUUCGUAUGAAUCUUUGCAUGGUCCAACUUCAAACAUCUCAAGUUUUUCACGUUCCAUUCCAAAGCUCUGUGGCCAAGUUCUACAAUGAACACAAAUUAGAUUAUUGUCUUAUCCUCUUAAAGUGUUUAGCUACUUACUACUGCUCAUGAAUAAAUGUCUGAGUUAGCAUAUUAUCCUCAUUGUUUAUGGCUUGGGCCUCAUUUUUAACUUUUAAGAGAAAUUUACUUGUUAUCCCCUCACUUAUCAAGUUACACCCCACACCCUCAAAUGUUGUUUAUUUCAGUUUUGCUCUCUUUAAUUACUUUAAUUUUUUUACUGACUAGCCAAAACUUUCUAAACACUAACCGAAGUUUCCGAAACUAAAAUUACAGAUAUAUUAUAAUGCCCGUAAUUUCAAAAAGAAAAACAUAAGAUGUCUUUGAAACACACCUUAGUGAUGUCUUGAAUCAACUAAAUAUCUGAAUUUCAAGUAGGAAAGAUGUCUUUGAAAUACUCAAUUAGGAUCCUGCGGAUAUCUUCCUUUGUUUCCAUCGUAUUACUAAGAUUAUCUUAGUAAUGAACACACAAAUAAUCUUGUACACGUAAAAAUUAAAUCCAAAACAAUUAAAUAAAUAAAAGGUUAGUAUUUUUUUAUAUUUUUAUCUUAGAAAAAAUUCUAUAAGAAAUUUUUUCAACCGUAUACUUUUCUAGCGCGUCAUAUUUUUUCCAUAAAUAUCCUUGAGCAUUUUGGAUUAUAUAAUUCAAAAAUAAUUUUCUCACUAUUUUUAGGUGAAAAAAUGAGAUAAAAUCCGAAUACCCCAUAUAGAAGUUUGUAAUGGGGAUAGUCAAUUAAAGAACUAUAUUAAUCAUCGUAACCUUCAUUCUCUUGGUUAGGUCAUUGUUAGUUGUUUCUGCCUGUCCUAGUCGAAAAUCCGGUUAUUAUAAUAUUUGAUCAAAUUGCUUCAGAACUUGUCCAGAAAAUCAUAAACGAAACAAAAAACAAAACUCUCGUAUAAUUGACUUUUUAUUGGACUCCGCCCUCGAAAUCCUAAAUUUUGCCGUUUAGACCUAUUUUAAAUUUUUAUUUUAUUUUUUCACAUUCUCAGAAAAUCCAAAAAAAAAAUUGCAUUAGCUUAAUUUGAUUUUUAGAAAUUUUUUGUGGUAUUUUUAUAUUUUAUUUGGCAAGUUUUAUCAUUUUAUAAUUUGUUUUUUAAUUGUUUUUAAAAGCAAAAUUCACAACUCGCAAUUUUAUACUCCAUACUUUUUUCUCUUUUAAUAUACGAUAUGUUUGGGUUAUUUCAAUCGAAAGAUAUUCUGAUUGUUGAUUAUAUAUAAAUAUAUUUUGUAUAAUAUAAUAUAAAACUUAUUUUUUAUUUAAAUUAUAUAAUUCAAAUGACCAACGAUAUUUCAAAGAUAAGGUAUAAGAAGUGUGAGAAAGUCAUUGUGCAAGAAAAGUAAUAGCCAAAAAUUCAAAAUCAAAUUUUUUUAUAAAAAAAGUUGGGAUCUGCCCUCUUUAGUUUUAGGGCUAUCUAACAAUGGGAACAUUUAGACCCCAAACGUGCGAGUAGAGCCAUGUCUAAUUUCGAAGCUCUUUUAAACAACAACGAAAAAACCGGACAAUGCAUUCAAAAAUAAAUGGGAUAAUGUUGAUCAAUAAGAUGCUACAUUUAGUGCAAGUGAAUAGUGAACUCGCACAGAAAGAUUGCGUGAAUCCAAAUCCAGGAACUGAGUCUUCUGGGUGAUGGAGGAAAGUGCAGAUUAUCUUGCUGGCAAUAGAAUGCAUCCAAUUUAAAUGGUAGGUAGGGAUGCCAUGAUUCAGAUUCAGACAAGAACACCUCAUAUGCACUGCCUCUGUCCAUUACCCCCACUCAGUCAUCGCUCUUGGGAAGGAAAUACACUAUAUAUUUAAACCUUUCUUUUUAUGGCAUGAUUCUUUCUUGAAUAUUGAUUAAUCCAAAUCAAACAAUUGUUAAUUAUGACCCAAGGUUGAGCUGAGUGACAUAAGCGUUAUAUUUGGGGUAUGAACAUAUGCCACCAUUUUGAUUACAUUAUACUAGUUUAUUUAUACUUCCCCAUUUAAGAAUUUUAUCUUUUCCAACAAAUAUGAUUUUUUUUUCAUAUGAGCUUUAAAAAAAGUUAGCAAUUAAUUAUAACUCAAAUAUUCUCACGUUUUCUUCAGUUAGAUAUUUACAAGAAGUUAGUACUUUAAGUUUUUUUUUAUUCAAUAAAUUGAUCAUUUAUGUCAUUAAUUUUUUUUCACCAUUAUCAUCUAUUCAUAAAACUCGGUUAAAAAUGCUUGUAAACUAUCAAUGCUAACGGCUCUUAGAAUUAUGAUUUCACACUUAGUUUGAAGGUCAAUUACUUUAUUUAUAAUGUUCAUGGAACAUUUAUCUGUAAAAUUAAGUUUGAAUUGGAAAACAAAAAGAAAAUAUAUUAAAGUACUAAUAAGUAAUUAUGUCUAAUGUCAUAAACAUUCUUUGGACCUUCCACCUAAAUGUAACUGACGUAUGCAUUUUUUUAUGAAGUUGGAUGAAAAAGUAUAACAAUGUAAAUAUUUUAUGACUUAAAGUACUAAUUUGUUGAAGAAAAAAAUUGAAGGACUAAUUUAUUAUAAACAACUAACACUUGAAGUAUCGCAGGAGAAAUUUGAUCUAUAACUAAUUGGUAACUUAUUUUGAGAGGAUUUAAUUUCUAGUGGAUGUAAAAAAAGAUGUGAGCCAAGUUCAAAUAACGGAAAAAUGAUACGAAUCUCUUAAAAUGAUUCAUUAGAGUGUUGUUUGUCUAGUUUAUAAAUGACAUAGGAAAAAAGAAAUGAUGUUUCAACAUCCAUUUUGUGACAGUUUUCACUCUCAUACUCACAUUAAUUUUUACUUUAUCUAUCUAUUGUUUUAGUUUUCGUGCAAAUACCUACCUAUCUUUUAUUUAUAAAUUAUGAUUGUCCAAUAAAUUAUCAACCAAACGGUUGUUCAAACACUCCUCUAGAAAAAAGAGAAACACAAUCACAAAAUAUGAACAAGAAUGAAAACUCUAAAACCAGAGUAAAAAAUCACAAUUGUGUCUAAUGACAGCCAAAAAAAUAUUAUUAUAUGCAAAUUGUUACUACCUCCGUUCCUUUUUAACUGUCACUUUUUAAUAUUUUACACAAAUCAAGACACUCAAUAAAUAUUACUUUUUCUUGUACAAUAAUUUAUAUUUUUACUAUAAUAGUCUUAGUCAUUUAAUAUUUUAUUUCAUAUAUUUCUCUUUCUGCAAUAAAUAACUAAAAGUAAUGUUGGUAAAAGAACAUUUAUUGUUGCAUUGAACUUUAAAAGUGUCAGUUAAAUACGAACAAAAAAUGUCCGAUACUUAAAAUGGAAUGGAGGGUGUACAAAACAUAGAUUACUCUCAAAUAGCCGGUGACCCUAAUACACCAUCACCUCCAAAACAAAUAAAUACAUCUCACAGCACUCUAAAAACAAGAGCAAAAGAAAAAAAAAAAUCAGAUACGAACUUAAAGUAUUUCUUAGUACUGUACUGUCUUGUAAAAUAGAAAUAUAGUUUAUAAUAUAGUCUCGUUCAACCAUUUUCUUUAGGAUUAUAAUCGACAUGUUACUUCCUCAACCUAUAUUUUUUCAACCAACAUCGACAAAUAUUUGGACUCACAAAAACUAGUUUGUUUUCUUUUAUUUUUCUAAAAUAAAACAAAUCAUUCUAUAUUUUGAGAUAUUUUUUUCUUAUCUCCCACUGUUAAAUCUACAAAUGGAAAAAUCAUAAAAUUAAUCGGCGCAAAAAUUGACUAAUCUUAUUUUGAUUGAAUUGAAAUAACACAUACAAUACGAAUUUGCAUUUUACAAGGGCAAAAGCAUAAAAUAUUGGAAACUGCAAUGGUGGUGCUGUGGGAGACAUCGAUUCAAGUCUAGGAACUUGUUGCAGCUGAGAAAAGACGAGGCCCGAGAAUACAGCAGAAGAUGGACUCGACCUGCUCCUCAUGAUCUUGUCUUGUGUCUCUCAAGUGCGAUCUAUCUUGCUUACUUUGAACAUCAAUAAAUAAAUACUUUAUUAGAAAAAGAAAUGGUAUAUCAUAUUCAAACCUUAACCUAACUCUAAAUGGAAAACUGUCAAGUAUCAUGUGCGAACCUGUUGGAAUCCAUUUUGCCGUACCAAAGAAACCCCACGACCAUUGUUAAUUACUCACUCUUAAAAGCAAAUACAGUAUAGUCCAAGAUCUUACACAAGUCAGUCAUAACAAGAAGAAAGUUUUAAUUAAUUAUAUUUCCUUAAAGGGUAAGAACGUGCGGGUGCUUUUAGUUUAGAUAAAUCUCAUGUGUAUGCAAAUAUGAAAAUAUUAAGGAAAAAGAGAUUAAAGAAAGAGAUCAGAAGCAAAAUGAAAGAGAUAUAUAAUAGGAAGAAAGAAAGGGAGCUCCCUUCAGUCCAAAUACAGGAAGCUUAAGACUCAAUUUGUCUCCCGCAUCAUUCACUCAUUUGCAGAGUAUACUUGAGUAUAUUUUACUCAGCAUUUGGAUGAAUGAGUCAGCAGCUAAUUAAAUCUUACAGCAACCCAUGAGUGGACUAAAGAAAGCUCUCUCUCAUUUACCAUUCGCCAUGCAUCCUUCCAUGAUUCUAUCAGCUAGAUCUGUGUGAUAUAUACAUAUUCAAUAAGCAAGGUUAGUUAGUACAAGUAAUGAAAGUAAUUAUAUGAAGAAACUAACACAGGUCGUAUCAUAUGGUAUAAUAUAUGUAAGGAGUGUCACUGUAUCAAUGAGCAAGGAGCUCUGAUAAUGACACUGAACAUGAAGGAAACCAUUCCCCCAUGGCUUUUUAUAACCUCAAUGGAAAAGGAAUGGACAAAGAUAUGGUUAAGUUGAGUAUCAUUUAACUUCAUUUAUCUACCAUUCAUUUACUAUUGUUUAUAAUUUAUGAAAUAGAUAAAUACAAUUAGAAAAUCAGUGAGACCCAUAAAUGUGUUCACUUAUUAAAAUGAUAUUUGUAGAACCAUUUUUUAACAAUUUUUUAACAACUUUCUCUUUUAUACUCACAUUAUUCUUUUAUUAUCUCUCUUCCUUUUUCUCUCUCUAUUAUUUUUAACCAAUGAAAAGAGAAAAAAAAUUAUCACCAAAAAUUAUAUAAAAUGGGUGUUCAAAUAUCACUCCUCUAUUAUUUGUGCUCACCCUUUCAUAAAUAGGUGGUUGGUAAAUGAAAUAAACCUGAGCUUGGUAAAAAAUAUACUAUUUUAUAUACCCUUAAGUAUUUAUGAAAAUACGUGUUUUUAAUUAUUAAAAAUUAAAAUAUUUUACUUCUUUAAAGAAUAAUUAUUUAUUUUAAAAUAUUUAAAAAAUGUCUAACGAGCAUUUGUUAACUAGAUCUUUAAUUAUAAAACAAUAACACAUUAAAAAAAGAAAUUACGAAAUAUUGAAAAAUAUAGCCAAUAACGUAUAACUACUAUAUCAUGCAAUCAUAACGAGGAAGAUGAUAAAAGAAAGAAAGAAGAAGAAGAUAAAAGAGUAAAACUUCUACGAAAUAUAAAAGUACUUUUGUGGCAACUUUUUUUUAGUUUUUUUAUUUUACAAAAACAAUAGAAAGAAGAAGAAGAUAAAAGAGUAAAACUUCUACGAAAUAUAAAAGUACUUUUGUGGCAACUUUUUUUUAGUUUUUUUAUUUUACAAAAACAAUAGAAAGAAGAAGAAGAUAAAAGAAUAAGAACACAAUAAGAUUAUGAGAAUGAGUUGUAAAGAAAUGUUUAUGCAAAAUUCAUUUCUCACCCAAUAGAGAAAUUAAGUAUAUCGCCUAAAUUGCCUUCUAGAAUUAAUAAAUUUAUACAGUAUACAUUGACCAUGUUUUUUUACUAUUGUAUGAAGACAAAUAGUGACAUGUAUAUAAUUAAAAUAUCGUAAAAAUAUCAUUAUUCACCUUUAAAUACACUAAAUAUUAGCAAGAAAAAUACCAAUGUUCAAUGUCAUUUGAAUGAUAUUCUAUUGAAAAGUAUUAUUUGAACAACCAUUUAAUUGAUAACUGAUGAAAUAAUCAUAAUUUAUAAAGAAAAAAAUGAAUAUUUACACAAAAACUAAAGUAACAGAGAGAUAAAGUAAAAUAUAAAUAUAAAAGAAAAAAAAUCAUAAAAAUUAUCUUAAAAUAAACGUUCAAAUGUCAUUUCUCUAUCUCAUUAUGUCAUUAAACUGUGCCCGAAUUGGUGUCUUGUCUAUGGAAAAAAAGCUGCCUACCAAAUGAGGGAUAGACAUAGGUCUUUUCUUGGCACUCUUCUUUUGCCCUUGCCCAUUCUUAUUAGGCUUUCAUAUCAAUGUGUCCGAUCACAACUUUUUCUCAAUCACCGGUGACCUGUCCAUCGAUCCAUCCCAUCUUCUUUCUCAAACAGCUACUGGCUUUAAUUGAAUUGAAUUGGAAAUUUGAGUGAAUACACUGUUCCACUUCCAUUGUGAAGACGAGAGGAAUCACCAAAGUUACCUCUUACCACUUCCAUCGGUAUUUAAACCUUUUUUAAAAAGCCUAUCCACUUCCACUGUUGGUGUUUAAACCUUUUUUAGCGAUACUAAUUUCUUGCUUAGAAGUAGAGGAAUGACCUUUACAAAAAAAGAGUCAACAAGAUGAAAUUAAGAAUAAAAACAUAAGACAAAGAAGCUUGUAAAGACAAAACCUUGUUUUUAAGAAAAGAUUUCUGCACUUCUUUCAAUAUUUUAUUCGUAUUAACAGGGUAUCAAAUUUUAAUUAAAUGAUUAAGAGAUUCAAUCAUCUAUAAAACUUGUAUUGCACUAUAUUAGUAUAAUUUAACGAGAUUUAGAAAAGGUUAUAUAUAUAUAUAUAUAUAUAUAUAUAUUUUUUGGAUGACGCAAAAACGAUACUUAAAUUAAUAGAGAUCAAAUUUCAUUUGUUUGGUUCAAAUUAGAUUUAAACAUGGACAAAACAAUCCAAUUUAAUUAAUUUGGAAUGUAUGUUUGAGUUUAUCGGAUCAUUGAUUUGAUUUUUACUAUCUUAAAAAAAGAAUCUCAAUUUUACUAUAGUUUAAAAUCAUACAAAAUCCUAGGUAUUAGUCUUUUAAGUCCUCGUUGGAUAUAACUCAACUUCAUAAAAUAAAUAUAACUUUAAGGUUUUUUUUUUAUUUGUUACUAUCUUAAGUUAUUUGGGGUGGUUGUUAAUUUCUGGUUUUUGAUUUAAAAACAAUAUUGUUCUAACAAAAUAAUGUUGAAUUGAUUUUUUAAUUUUAAAAUAUUUUUCACUUAAAUCUCAAAUGCCAAAAAUAGUUUAAUAACUAUUGCUUUUGUUUUAACAUCCUCUUCAAUUUCAUAUGACCACCACCACUUUAGUCAUCCUUCUAACCGCAGCAAUGCAUUGCGAUCACCUCCGACUACGAAUCAACACUUUACUAUAUAUCAAUUUCCACCUUCGACAAUUAUCCCUUCUACAUUAUUAUUAAAAUUAUUACUAAAUAAAUUAUAAUAUUUAAAUAUAUUUUUUUUUAAAAAAUUCUAAUAGAAUUUUUAGUAACACACAUGUUAGUGUGAUUCACAUGUGAGAGAAACACACAUGAUUUUAAUAUAAUUCUCUCAAUAGUUGUUUGACAAUAGAUUACAUGAGUGGGAUUUCAUGUGGGUGUUGAUUUUUAGCUUAUGCAGUUGCUCCUUGGUGCACUGCUUGAACAAUACUUCCACUGAAUCAUUGAAUUAUGUAGUUCAAGAUUUUGCUUUCAGGUCAAUGGUGAAACACCAGCAUCAAAUGUAAGGAAUAAAAGUUUCAAAAACCAUGCUCUUAAUACAAUGGGGUAGCCUAUAUCUAAUUCCCAAACGUAACAUUUACGAGUGGCAUCGGGUCAAGGGCUAGAUGUGUGUCUUUCAACGAAAAUGGAACAUUUUGACUCACCGUGACGAGCUCCCCUGGCGUAUGCCACUCAAGAGACAAGGGUCAUUUUUCAGCUGUUCUCCCAUUGACGAAGCGGCAACCAUGGGAUGUGUGGGAGAUUCGGUGUGCGCUUGGAUUUUUUUUUGGUCUAAUAACAUUAGGCUAUGCGGGAUUUUCAUGCAUGCGAUUUUUGAAGACCAAAAAGAUACAAACAACGGAAAAACGAGCUAUUAAAGAUAUGAUUCUUGAAAGCAGAUGGACUGGCAACAGUAAAAUGCCUUUCGCAGUCGUGACAAGAACUCAGCCAGUUCUUAAGAGUAUUGCUUCGUAAAUCAUUUCACUUUGAUCUUAAUCUUUUGUUAGCGCAUAUAUUAAUACAAGAUUUGUUCCUUAUGCAAUGAGGAAACAUUCGUAUUUUGAUCAUAAAUGGAGGAAAGCGUUUGUAUUUUGAUCAUAAAUGAGGUGGCAUUUAAAUUAUAAAUAGUUAUUUUUGACCAUUAGAUUAAAGAGAAACAUUGAUCUUAUUAUGGUCAGCCUACACUAUAUCGUUCUUGUUUGUCUUCAACCUUCCUAACAUCUCUUUUCAUCACCACCCACCACCACAAGCAAACUCAACAGCUUCCUCUGACGAUGGAGCAACCGUUAUCGAAAUCUGACCAUUUGUUUCCAGCCGAAGAUCCACUUGCCAACGAUGGAUUUGAGUGGAUCGAAGUUAUGGAGGUUACCGAAAUAGUAGUCGGAGGUUAAGUUUCACCGAAAAGUUUUUCCAUAGGUCAAGAUUCAAGGAGAGCAAGUUCCUUGACAAUCCAAUUGCAAAUAUGUUGCAUAUUUCCCUUUGUAUCAUGUUGCGUAUAUACUGUGCCAUGGAAUUCACCACACAAAUCAAUGAUACAGUUUUAAAAUGUUUGAAGAAUUAAUUGAAAAUCAAAGUGGGAGAGAAUUUUUAAUUGAAAAUCAGUGUUUCAAGUUUCCCUUUUGUUUUUGUUUUGGAUUUUAUUAUUAGCUACGUAUGCCUUGAGGUUGCAGUUUGUGCCCAGCUUUGUUUUGGCCAAGUGAAAGAAGAUUUUUAAGGGUUGUGAACUUGUUGUUUUUUGUCUGGUUGUUGCUUGUGUAUUCUGUUCAAAAAAGAAAAAGUAGGAAAGUUGAAGACAAAGUGAAGAAUAUAUGGUGUACACAGACUAUUAUAAGAUUAAUGUUCCUCUUAAAUCAAAUGGUUAAAAAUAAUUUUCUCUAACUUGUGUAUGGUGCACAAAUUUAAUAGUUUGUGAACCCUAAAUGCCACCUAGGGCUGGACAACGGUCGGUUUUCGGUUGAAAAACCUCAAUCCGCCGCAAACCACGGUUGGGAACAUCCCACCCAUUUUUGCCCAUCUGAUUCGUCGGUUAUCGGUUGAAGCAGUUUGUCGGAUACGCGGUUGGUUUAUCACGGUUUGACAGGGAAAAAAAAAGCUACUUAAAAAGAUUCACCAUUUGGCAAAAUAAAAAUAAAAAAUGUAUGUGGUCUUUCAAAUACAACACGUGAAUUUCAUACUGCUAAUUUCCAAUUUGUAUGUCAAAUUGGAAAAUCAUUCAUAUACAUGCUUAUGUUUUCAUUUUACUGGAUUUCAAAUUCAAUCCUGGACUUUCAGAUGCAAAACAAAAGAAUGGUGAAGAUGAAGAUCUUGAGAUCUAUUGAUUAAGAAUUAUUAAGGUGUAGAUUCUUAUGCAAAAGAAGGAUGAAAGACGUGUGUGAUUAGUUUAGGUGUAGAUUCUAAUGCAAAACAAGGUCGGAGAUGAAGAUAAGGUAUGAAGUUGAAGAUUUUGGAACUCAUGUUGUUGAGUCUGAAGAGGAAAAGCUGAAGCAGUGAGAGAGAAUGAAAGAGUUUGGACUGGCGGCUAUGGUUUCUAUGGUGUGUUUUGUCACAUGUUUAAGUGAAAUAUGGGCUUGGAUAGUUGGGUUAAUUAUGGGCCUUAUCCAUAAGCAUAGUAGAAGCCUGUAAGUAGUAUAAUACGGUCGGGUGUGGUUUUCGUUGGGUUGGAUUUGCCCAACUGAAACCGACCAACACUAUCCAACCAAACCCAACUAUCUCAACCUGCUAGACCCGUUUGAACCGACCCGCUGCCAUACGGGCCAUACGGUUCGGCCCGAUUGGGCCGGUUUGGCAGAUUCAGUCCAGCCCUAAUGCCAACCAUAAAUGAAGGACCGCCUUCCUAGUUCAUAGAUAUUUCAAGCUAUUAUUAGGGUGGCAUUUAGAAUGCACAAAUAUUAAAUUUGUGCACCAUGCACAAGUUUUUUUUUGCCAUUAGAUUAAAUGUAGCACAUAUUUUUAUCAUGGUCUCUCACUAUCAGAUUUUUCUCGCUUUCUCUCUCUACAUCCUCUCCUUCCCCACACCAACAAACUUCCCUCACUCCAUCGCGUCACCAACCCCUGCACCACCACCCAAUCCGCCCAUCCUCCACCAUCAUCUCGUCCUCCACCCUCCUCCCACUUCACCGUCGCUGUGUAAAAACUUGAACCCAUCACUCUCUGUCUCAAAAAACCUGAUGGGACCAACAUCUGCUCCCUUUUCUCCCUCCCUCUCAUCUUUUAUCUCAUUAUUAUCAAAUUGAAAGCUAACAUCAACUUGAUUAACAGUUUCUUCAUUUUUUUUUAAGGGUUAAUGGUGCUUUACCCCCUGUAAUAUAGGUCAUUUUUGGUUUUUCCCCCUGUAAUUUUUUUUUUUUUUUGGAAUACCCCCCUAAUAGGUCAUAAAAAAACGUUUUUGCAGAAUUUUUUCAUUUUUUUAUGACCUAUAUUCCCAAAAAAAAAAAUUUUACAGGGGUAAAUCAAAAAAAAUAUUUUACAGGAGGAAAACAAAAAAUGACCUAUAAUACAGGGGGUAAAGCAUCAUUAACCCUUUUUUUAAACGCCAUCAAUUUUAUUAAAAGCUGAACCUCACACAGGUAGCUAAACCUUACAACAACUUCAUUUCUGGAUUUACAGUUUCCUCAUUCUUAUUUUUAAUCCGAAAAAAAAAGGGUCAAUUCCAAAAAAAAAAAAAAUCAUAAAUCAUAAUGAUGGUUAAUUGGAAAUGAUUCAAUUUUACCCAAAACAUCCCAAAAAUGGGUCAAUUCCAUUAAAGCAGAAAUGUUGAGAGUUUCGCUUUAUAUAAGGUUAAGUUUUUUUUUUUUGGAAACUUGAGAAUUUAAAAUAUGAAUAAUCGAUUCUGAAAACAAAUUUUCUUCACCAUUCCUCUUUUUCUCUUGUUUUCAACGAGAGUUUGAUGAGAAAAAAAAAAGUGUGUUUGGUGGUGGCGGUGAGAAGAGUACGAUGGUAUAGAGAGGUUGUGUGGACAGCGAAAAAAUAUAUAUUGUAGACAAUCUAUAAUAAAGAUCAAUGGUCUCUCUCAUCUAAUGGCCAAAAAUAAUUUUAUUAAAACUUGUGUAUGGUGCACAAAUUUAACAUUUGUGCACCCUAAAUGCCACCUAUUAUUAGGGUGUGUUUGGUUUGCAAAACAGUAAGUACUGGACAGAACAAUACAAGAUAGAACAGUACAACACAAGGCAGAACAGCACAGGACAAUUUUUUUAUGGCAUUGAGUAAUUUUUUGUUUUAUACGAUUUUUGAGGGACAAAAUGCUAUUUUGGUAUUUUAGAUAACUUGUACGUUGGACAAAAAGUUGUGCUGUGGUUUGGUGAGGGACAAAAAUAUGAGUUUUUGUCCUGUCAUUUGCCUCCAGUUUGUCCUGUACCUGAAACAGUUUUACAAAUCAAACACUGGACAACUAGAGUUGUUCUGUCCUGUCCUUCAUUUUUUAGCAAAUCAAACGCACCCUUAGUGUUUUAUAGUGCACAAAUUUAACAUUUAUGCACCCUAAAUGCCACUUAUUAUUAGUGUCUUUAUUCUUGUUUACUCGCCUACACUCUUGGAGUAUGUUUUCCACCAGGGCCAUGAAUUGUCACAUUUAAGGAUUUCAUCUUCAUUGCAGUCAGAGGAUCUCACAUUUACACAUUCAUAAUAAUGAUGGUUGUUCCUUCAAGAUUGGACGGUCGAAAAAAAUGGAUAUCUUAAAUUUUAUUUUGUAAUUUUGAAUACCAACUUUAUAUCUAAACUCCAAUCUUGAUUGGCCACCGAUAUUCCGAAGGCGGGGAAUCACUUACUGCAGUGGAGCUGAAUUUAUCCGCCAGUUAACACACACCACCUUUCUCAAUCGCAUGAAGCAAUUUGCAUUUGUUAAUUAUUCGAAGUGUAUUACAACUGUGAAGUGUAAGCACUAAGCAUUCCUAGUCCUGAUUUCCCAAUGACAAAGACGCCAAAAUAAAAAUCAAUCUACAAAGCAACAACAAAAUGUAUAGAAAGCAUAAAAACAUUUUGUUGUAUGCUAGCAACACCACAACAGCAACUUUAAAAACCAUACAAGUGCAGGAGCAUGUGGAUGCAUGCAAAACAACACUGGAUACACAUUGAAGUUACAAGAGAAAGAAAAAGGGGGAAACUUUCAGGAGAUGCACCAAGAUCACAAAUAAAGUAAGACUAAGGAAAAAAAAGUCGAAAAAAGCAAAAACAGCUUAAGGUGCACUUAAGGACUCAAAUUUGAAGCAAAAAAAGCAUGUUGAUUCAAAUGACGGCUUUUCUUUUUUUAAAUGACAGCUUUUCUUUUAUUUGUUAGAUUGAAAGCAAAAACAGCUACAGUAAUAAGGAAACAAUAGUUGCUCUUUCUAACCAAAGAUCCUCAAACAAGAUAUACGGUUGCAACUCAUACUGAACUAAGAACAAUUAACCACACAAAGAAGCAUAUCAUCAAUUAUCAAUAAAGAGCAGCAACACCAGCACCACUUUGACAUAUCAACUUCAAUGGAAAUGGAACAUUUCAACUCACUAUGAUGAGUUCCCCCCCUGUGUACACCACUCGAGAGCAGGGUCUUUUUUCAGUUGUUCUCCCAUUGGAGAAGAAGCAGCUAUUGUGGUAUACUAUGUGGGUGACUGCGUGUGUGCUUAGAUUUUUUGAAUUGAUAACAUUAGGUUAUGUGGGAUUUUCAUCCAUGAGACUUCUCAAGACCCAAAAGACUCAAGCUAUGGAAGAACAAGCCAUUGAAGAUAUGGGUCUUGAAAGCAGAUUGGAUGGAUUGGUGAUAGUAAAAUGCCUUCUGCAGCAGUGAUAAGAACUCAGCCAGUUCUUGAGAGCAUUGCUACAUAAGUUAUUGUAUUUUCCUGUUUGUCAUCAUGUCCCCAAUGGCCCUUCUCACUUUGAUAUUAGAACUUUCAAAAUUGAUGGAUUGUUAAGACUCUUUUGGGGUCCUUUCAAAAUGGAUGGAUUGUUAAGACUCUUUUGGGAUCUGGAUUCUCAUUUUUUAAUCCAACGGGAAGGGGGGUUAUGUUGAUGAUUUCAUGAUUAAAUCUCAUUGGGUUCUACAACUUGAAAAAUAUAUAAAUUGGACCCAAUGAGUUUUAAUGGUGAGAUAAUCAACAUAGCUCCUCAUGCUUGACUCAAAUAUGAGAGGAACCAAAUCCAAUCUUUAGUCAAAUGCAUAUUGCAUAUAUUGCAAGGUUCGUUCCUUCUGUGCAAUGAAAAAAGCAUGUGCAUACUUGCCUUUCUAGUUCCUAGUUAUUUCAAGAAUGUCUCUUAUUAAUAAUCUCUCAACUCUCUUGUAGACUUAUACUUGCCUAGUCGCUUAGGAAUAUGUUCUCUAUCAGGGUCAUGAAUUGCACAGGUAACACAUAAUAAUCAUAUUUCUCAAAUGCAUGAGGCAGUUUGCAUUAGUUAAUCAGUCUCAAACAACUGUAAUAAAGUGUAAGCGAUUAACUUCAAUAAAUAAACUGAAGGGGGAAUAUAGGAGCGUAGAUUCCACUAAAACCCACAAGAAGCAAUAUAAGGAAAACGUUCCCUAGUCCUGAAUCAAUCUACAAAGCAUACAACAAAAUGUAUAUUAAAAAACACUUAGCUAGCAAGGCAACAAAAGCAACUUUAAAAACCAUACAUAGUGCAUGAGCAUGUAGAUGCGUGCAAAACAACACUCGUCACACAUUGAAGUUACAAAAGGAAUAACAAAGGGAAUACACCAAGUUCAGCUAUAAAGUAAAGCUAAGGAAACAAAGUCCAAAAUAUAUUGAAACCUGAGAGGAUGUUUCUGUCAUUGUUAAUACACAGUCUUUAAACACAGCUUUAAAGGUAUCUAUGAGACAAAAGCAUCAACAAUUUAAAGUGUAAUUCAGGACUCAAACUUGAAACAAAAAAAGCAGGUGAACAAAUGACAAAGCUUUUCUUUUAUUUGUUAAAUUAAAAGGAAAAACAGCUACAACAAUAAGGAAACAAUAAUUGCUCUGCCUAACCGAAGAACCUCAAUCUCAACGAAACAUACAGUUGCAACACAAAUGCUGCAUUAAACAACAAACAAACAACUAACCACACUAAGAGACAUAUCAUCAAUUAAGAGCAGCAGCACCAGUACCACUCUGACGAGCAAGUUUUGUCCACUCGGUAUGGAAAGCGCCGGGACGAUCGAGACGCUCAUAGGUAUGAGCUCCAAACAAAUCCCUCUGAGCCUGAACAAGGUUAGCAGGAAGCCUUGCUCUCCUAUAUGUAUCAAAGUAAGCAAGACUAGCACACAUUCCAGGAGUACUAAUCCCAGCUGAAAUAGCCAAUCCAACAACCCUUCUCCAUGCACCUUGCCUUUGCACCAUUUCCUUAGCAAAUUCAGGAUCCACUAUCAAACUAGCCAAAUUAGGGUUCCUCUGAUAAGCCUUCUUAAUCCUAUCCAAAAACACAGCUCUUAUAAUACACCCACCUUUCCAAAUCCUAGCUAACUCCCCAAAAUUCAAAUUCCAACCUUUCUCAUCACUCUUUGCCCUCAACAAAUUCAUUCCUUGUGCAUAACUACAAAUCUUAGAAGCAUACAAAGCUUGUCUCACAUCAUCAAUCAACCUUUUCUUAUCAACCCCACUUCUCACAAACCCUCCCACUUCCUCGCCCAACCCCGCUUCCUUCAAAACUGCCGCGGCAUUCUCCCUCUCCUCCUUCAACCCACUCAAAUACCUACAGUCCAACGAAGCAGCAAUAGUCGGAGCAGCAACUGACAACUCCGCAGCUUGUUGAACAGUCCAUUUACCGGUCCCCUUCAUACCAGUCUUAUCCAAAAUCUUAUCCACCAAAUACCCAUCCCCACCUUCAUCCUUCACCUUAAAAAUAUCAGCAGUAAUCUCAAUAAGAAAACUCUCAAGCUCACCACUAUUCCACUCAGCAAAAAUAUCAGCAAGUUCAGAAUUGGACAAUCCACCAACAUGCUUCAAAACAUCAUAAGCUUCAGAAAUAAGCUGCAUGUCACCAUAUUCAAUACCAUUAUGAACCAUCUUAACAAAAUUACCAGAACCACCUUCACCAAUGUAAGUAACACAAGGACCAUCUUCAACCUGAGCAGCAACCUUGGUAAGAAUAUCUUGAAUAUUACUAUAAGCCUGGUAGGAGCCACCAGGCAUAAGAGAAGGUCCAUUUCUAGCACCUUCUUCACCACCAGAAACACCCAUACCGAGAUAGAGUAUUCCCUUUUCAGAGAUUUGUUGGAUUCUUCGUUCGGUAUUUUCAUACCAUUCGUUACCACCGUCGAUAAUACAAUCGCCGGGCUCCAUGUGAUCUGAGAGGGCGGAGAUUGUUUGAUCGACGGGAGCACCAGCUUUGACAAGGAUGAUAACUGAUCUAGGACGUUGGAGAGAGAGAACGAAUUCGCGAGGGGAGUAUUGACCGGUUAAAGGGAGGGAGCCUUCACGGUGGGCACGAUCUACGGUUUCAUCGACUUUGGAAGUAGUACGAUUGUAGACGGAGAUUGGGAAGCCUUUCUCGGCGAUGUUUAGGGCUAGGUUUUGGCCCAUUACGGCUAGGCCAGCGAGGCCUAUGCGAGAGAGAGUGGAAGCGUCCAUAGUUGAAUUGAAGAAAUGAAAUGAAAUGAAAGAAGGAGUUGGUGAGAUAGAGAGAGAGGGGAAGGAGUGUGAAGUGUUUUUGUAUGAUGAGUUGUUGUUGUUGAGAAGUGGCGGACUCGUCGAGGGUGUGAAAGGACAGUGACUUAACCACCAACGAGGAGCUACCGUUACCUCCAAGAUGUGUCAAAAUUGUUACAUAAACGACUGCGUUUUAGAGUAUCCAGUCAACUCGUAUAAAAUUUAAAUUGAUUAAUUAGACACAAAAAUUAGAAUGUUGAAAAAUUAUCCUAGUUAGCAUCCUUUCGUCUCAAUCCAAUUAUCAUUUUAUUUUGAGGGAAUACACAAAUGAUAUUUAGAUACCCCUAACCCUCUAUCUCACCAUUUUCCUUAUGAUGCAUAAAAAGUUUUAGUUCAUCUUUGUGCUUACUCCAAUAUAAGUUUUCUAUCGUUGUCAUCAUCUAUUAAAAAGAUUGAACAUAAUGCAUCAUACACUAAAGUUGCUUUAAAUUAUUUCUUUCUGUUAAGAGGUUAACAAAUGGGUGAGGUUUAGCAUGGGAAAGCUAUUUUUUUUUCAUCAUGAAAAAGUUAGUUUUUGAUCAUUAGAUCAAACCAAGAACACAUCCUUAUCAUAAUCCCUCAUCACUAGAUUUUGUAAUUUUAUUAUUUUGAAACCAUUUUUUAAAAACAAAAAAUAUACUUCGAAAUUAAAAUAAACAUUUAAAAAUAUGGAAAUUAAUUUUCCAAAAUUUUAAAAAAUAUAAAUAAACUUGUUUUCAAAAAAAUUAAUUAUGAUUUUCAAAGAUUUAAUUUUUGUAAUUUUCAAAAACUAAUUUCCAUAUUUUUUUAGAAUUAUUUUAUUUCGAAAAAAAUGUAAAACCUUACCUGAAGGUGAAAUCGAGAAUUCUUCAAAGUUUCGGAAAAUCAUAAUUAAAUUUGAAAAUUACAAAUAUUAAAUCUUCGAAAAUCAUAAUUAAAUUUUAUGAAAACAAGUUUAUUUCAAAAAGUUUAUUUAUAUUUUUUUAAAUUUUGGAAAAUUAAUUUCCAUAUUUUUAAAUUUAUUUUUUAUUUUUAUAUGUUUAUUUUAAUUUCGAAAUAUAUUUUUUGUUUUUAAAAAAUGAUUUUAAAAUAAUAAAAUUACAAAAUCUAGUGAUGAUGGAGUAUGAUAAGGAUAUGUUCUUGGUUUGAUCUAAUGGUCAAAAACUAACUUUUCAAGUAGCUUUCCCAUGCUAAACCUCACCUAACAAAUGAGUAUAUUACUCCUCUUUCUUCUUGUCGGAAAAAAAAAAAAAAAAAAAAAAAACUCUUUCAAAAAAUUAAAAUUGCUAAAAGGAAAUUUUUAAUUUUACAGGGGUCAAAUUAAAAUAAACAUAACUGUUACUUUAGUAUGGCUUGAAAUAAAAUAUUUGCAAUUCUUUAUUUUCCUAAAAUAGAAAAUAGCUUUGCCAAGUAAACCAAGCUUUAAAUAUGAAACUCAGAUUUUAUACAAACACUUCAUCAAUUUUUACAAGUUCUUAGAGAGAAAUGAUUUUUAAAAAUACUAAUUUUUUUUUCUUAUGUAAUUUUACUAAGACCGGUUGUGUGCGUCCCUAAAACUCAGCUCCCUUAAACUUUUUGAAAGAGGAAAGCAAUUUUUUAGAAAAAUAAAUAAAAAAUAGCAUAAUUUGGACGUCUCUCCUGGGUAGAGAUCAUAAAUCCAGUCACUGCAUAAGAGUAGUUUUAUUUUCAACAGAGAACAGUUAUAUACUUUGACCAUGCAAGCCAUUGGAGAACAGUAAACAUCAUAACAUUGGCAACAAUGUCCAAUAUAUUAUUUGCAACUAAGUCGGAGAAAACACCAUCAAGGUGAAACUAUUCAUCAAUUAAAUAAAUAAAAAAUGAACACCACAUGCCCCCUUCACACACGAUAUGAGAACAACAGGCCCUAUAAAAAAAUGGAGUAUUUCAAAGAACAAGUUUACAUAAUCAAUGACAUCCAUUGAGGAUAUGUAUUCCAGGGGCAACAAAAUGUAAUCGAAGUCAUCAAGCAGCAGCUUGUCCAAAGAGCUGCUUUCGGAUCUGCGACAAUGAGCAAGAAACUUCAUUAGUCAUCAGAUGCUGACUAGUUUAUUUUCAACACUUCCCACGUAAAACGGCAGAAACAAAAAAGAAUGUGGACAAUAUAACUUCAAUUAUCAUAUCAUCUAUAGCCAAAUCUUCCUUUGAGCCACACACAUGAGUGCAAACAUAUAUGUGGUAGUUAUUUAUUUAACGCCAAGGCAAAAUAGCAGAAGACCAAUAAACCAAGUACAUAAAAUGAGACAAGACAACCCUCGUAUUCUCAUACAUAGGACACUCCAAAAAAUACCAAAGUUUUCAUUCUAUACAAUAUCCAAAGUCAACAAAAUGUAAUCUGAGAAAUUUCACUAGUCACCAGAUGCUAACCAGUUCAUUUUCAACAUCACCCACAUAAUAACAGAAGAAACAAUAAAAUGAUGUGGACCUAUUGCCAACUUUGAUUGUCAUAUGACCUAUUGCCAAAUCUUCCUUUGAGCCACACAUAUGCGGUAGUUUUUUAAUGCUGAGACGAAAUUGCCCAAGACUAAUAAACCAACUAAAUAAAAUGAGACAACCCACAUAUUCUUGUAAACAGGACACUGCAAAAAAUACCUAAGUUUUCCUCCCAGAUAUCCAAGGUGAACAGAAUAUAAUUUGACGCAAAGUGGGGUGAUAAUGGAUUUAUGAGAACAUGGGAGGAAUAAUUGGUGAAAAUGAUCUUUUAGAGCAGUAUAGCAAAUACAAAGGUGCAAACAGAGAGAAGGGGAAAAAUCUCUCUGGUUUUCAAGCCAAAAUUUCAGAAGUUUAGAAUAUUAAAGACUGAAGUGCAUAUCACGAUCCAAGAAAAAACACAUUGAGAAAGGAAAGAGAAUCGCCAAUGCUAGAAGUUAUCUGGGAGUGAGCAGCUAGUUCACAGAGUUUUGUUUGAAGAAAUACUUUUUUCUUUGUUGCAUACUAAUUGUCGGCCUUAGCCCUGAAGUCCCUCCCCGGUUAUCUUCCCCUUAAUACGUACAAUAUUUCAAGUUAAUUGUCUUAGUUGUUUAUCAAAGUGUGUAUGAGUAUGACUCGGUCGAAGAAUUAUAUUUCAAUGUCAAAGUUCAAAUGUCAUAAAAAAUAACUGCCUUUCUAGUUGAAAAUAAUAUGACAGUCGACAAUACUAUUAUAAUGAAGAGAAACGAAUCACAGAACAUGACAAUAGCAAUGCACACAAAAAAUUACCUCCGGAAGCUUUUUACGGAACACUACAUCCAGCCGUGCAUCAAGAGUAUUUUCACACACAAUCUUUCCAUCACGAGAAGCCAACACCACCCCACCAGAGCUGAAUUUUCCACAAAUAUAAUCAGGUAUGCUGAAACUGAUAUCGAAUAUUAAAGCAGCUACACAACUAAUCAAAUGUUUAGAUGGUCAUCAGAGAAGGCUUUCUCAUGUCUCAAUGUCAAAUCAACACGAAAAUACAAAAGCAACAAACUGUAGAGUUGUUUGACCUUGUGGUACUGUCGUGAUUUAUUGAGUCUCCCAAACCCAUAAUAAAACAACUUUAGCUAGUAUGCUCAGUCAACUAAAAACAUGGUAACCUUAGGUUUGAAACUCUUGAUUAAUUUUGACCAGAAUGUGUAACUAAUCAAGAAAAAGGUACAGCAUGAGUAAGAAGCAGGACCAUUAACAGAUCCAUACAGUUGCUUAAUAUUUAAAUAGAAGUCUGUAACAUGAACUUUACCAGUAAGGUUCGUGAGUAUUGUGAUGCUUGGGUGCAGGGGGAAGAUAGACACUGUGGUCAACAAUGAUCUCUGGUGGAUAAACACCUGCUUUUUCAGCAUACUCCUGUGCAGCUGCAUCCAGCACAUGUUCUACCAAGUGCACGUCAUGUUUCUGACAUCUCAACAAGACAGAAGGUUCUCUAAGUCUUAGCAAACUCUGUAAUGUACAAGUCUUAUAUUACAUUAUACUCCAAGUCCACAUACUUGUGCAUAGAAGGUGGUCCAUAAAAUAAUAUCAGAAGAAUAAGUUCAUGUAGAGGGAAAGAGGGAAGGGCAGGGAUUCAAUCCAAAAAAUUAAACAUGCUAACUUAAAAACCAAGGUUGCAUCCCAUGUCAGUAUAUAAUUAUCAUUUGAAAUCAAUGAGAAUGGUUCAUUAAGGUCCCCUGAUCACUCCAAUUUUUCAUGAAUAUACUAGUUAUAUAAUUUGUAACUUCAAUAAGUGUAAUGUUCAAGAUCAAACGAGAAUCUACAAAUAGUAUAAAAUUGGAACACAGUAAGUAAAUAACAGCAACACUAUCAAUAAGUGUAAUCAAGAAUCUACAAAUGAUAAAGAUACUUGGCAAAAUGCAAGAUCAAACGAUAAUUAGGUGUAAAAUAUUUAAAUGUUAACUGACCUGAACAAUGAGACCUUUUAGAAGGUUUCUGUACUCAUGAUUGCCCACAUGUAAAAUAUCUUCAACCAGGUGAUGACGGCUCACAUUCAAAAGUUCCUUGGCAGUAACUUCUUUCAUUGAAUUAACAAUGUCAUCUUGAGCUUGAAGAACAUUGAUCCGAGAAGCAUUCAGCUGCAUUGAGUACUCACUGCCGCAAACAAUUGGGCCACGGAAAUUAUAAUAUAUCAACUAGCAUAUUUUGUAAGUUUAGAAUAACAAUACAGAAAUGCACAAUAUUCACAUCAUGAAACAAAUUAAGCUUCACAAAAAAAUGGUUCCACUCAUCAUAUUUUGGCAAUAAAAAAACUUAAUUUAACUUGACAUGUACGAAGCACUGAGAGACACACGUUGACACCAGAUUUUUUUUUUAAAAUGAAGUAAUUGAAUGUAAUCAAAUGCAUGUUGGUGUCAGAAAUGAACAAUAUUCACAUCAUGUAACAAAUUAAGUUUCACAACAACAAAAAAAAAGUUCCACUCAUCAUAUUUUGGAAAUAAAAAACCUUAAGUUUAACCUGACAUGUAUGAAGCACUGAGGGAGACACGGACACCAGACACACGUUGACACCAGAUUUUUUUUUGAAAAAAAUUAAGUAAUUGAAUGUAAUCAAAGGCAAGUUGGUGUCCGACAUGUAACGUCUUCCAUCAGAAGUGUCAGUUCUACAUCAAAAAACACAAUGAACAUACGGAGAGAAACUAAAUUAAACAUUAAACUACAUUUAACAAAGCUCAACGAAGCUGAAAUUAGUUAAUUUCACCGAACAUUACGAUAAUGAUCCACUAGACAAUGACCAGAAAUCAAGCUUUGGCAAAUAACAACAAUCAACAUGCUUUGUUUAACUAUCACUCGCAAGGAUAAAAAAACAAGAUCUAUGCCAACAUAUUCAUUAUCCGAAAUUAUAAAUUGAGAUUGUGAUCGGAAUCGAUCACCAGAAUUCAAUUUCAACCAAUUCCACAAACAAAUGUCAAAGUAAUAAAAAACAAUUGAAAGUUCAAAUUAUCAGUGAACAAAACAGCGUAAAAAAAGUUCGAGAAAAUUACAUUUUCUUUCGAAUUUCAACUUGGCGCUCUUUUCGCUCAUAUUCUUGUCUGAUCUUCUUCUUCUCAGCUUCAACCAACUGAAGCUUCUCGAUAUUGAAUUCCUACACGAAGAAACAAAAAAAAAAAAAAAAAAAAAGGAGAGUUACAUUGCCGAGAGGAUCAAAUUUCAAUGCAAUGCAAUGAAGCUUGAUCGAGAAAAGAGAAUGAUUAGAGAAAUGGCGUUACCUCUUCAGCAGAGAGAGAGAUCUCGCUGGCUUUUUCUUCAGCUUCUUGACGGAUAAAUCUCACCAUCUGGUGGAUUUGCUUAGAGACAUCACCGUCGUUCAUUUUCGGAGAAGUUCGACAGGAAAGCAAGUUCGUCAAUGGCCGAAUCAAGUUGAUAUGUUUCAGUUUCAACAACAGAGUAACAGUCUACUACUACUGGGGCCAGCUAAGCUCCUUUUAAAUAUGCGCAAGUAAAGUAAUUUCUCACCAUCAUAUGACUAUAUUUUUUGUGGUGAAUUUUUUCUUUUUACUUUUAAAUUUUGGUGGUAGAUGUUAACUUAAAACGUGUUUUAAGGGUGUUAAGGAAUUCUUUUUUUUUUUUGGUCUAAGUUAAGGAACUCUUUAUAUAAAUAUAUGGAUUAAAAGUCGUGCAUUUAACUUCUUAAAAAUUAAACUAUUGUGUUUUCCAAUAUAAUUAGGAACAAAUUUUUUUAAGGUAAAUUCUAUGGUACACCCACUAUAUUUGAGUGUAUCGGUACACCCACUCUUUAAAUUCAUAGUUAAAUGAGUUGUUUUUUUGAAGAAAAAUAUUAUUUUUUAUCAUUUAUAAUUAUAAUAACUAAAUCUUAUUCAUCAAAAGUAUCAACAAAAUAAUUUUUUAUUUUUUAAAAUUUUUAUCACUCAUAAUUGAGAACAUUCAUUAUUUUUUACGAUAAUAUGUAAAAAAAGUUAUUAUGAUUCUUAUAAACAAUUAAACGAUGUUUUUUCUUAUGAAAUGUUGUUUUAUAAAAUAUAAAUAUUGACAAAUAGCUAUUUACUGCAUAAAAAAUGAUCGUUCAUUUAUAAAAUUAAAAAGUAGAAGUACCGGUAUACCUCAUUUUGUGAGUGUACCGUAGAAGUUCCCUUUUUUUAAUGAUAUACUCACUUGUGCUUUUUGAAAAAAAUUAUAUUGUCAAAUACUUAAAAGGAUUCUUUUGUAAUAUACUAGGUUUGUACGGGGUAUGGUCAUAUGGAGACUAGGUAAGGUCCUAGUAGAUUUUCUAAUAAUUUUAGUUAAAAAGAUUUUGCAAAAUAAACUUAUGAAUUCUGCUUUUCUCCCAUCAAAAAUUGUUCGCUCCUAACUAAACUUUUGAAAAUACUUCUGCGUGAGCCUACGUGAGUUAACUCGUGCAUGGUUUAUAACUAGCAAGAGUUAACUUACGCAGAAUUUAUAAUUAGCGUGAGUUAACUCACGUAGCGUGACUUAAAUCACGCAUGAGUAUUUACGCCUUUUCAAUUUGGAGAAGAGCGGAAUUCUAAACUUAUUAGGUUUCUACGAAAAUGGGUUCAAAUGGCCCAAAUCAAUUCUUAAAAAGCACAAGGUUACUUUUUAGGUCCCCUCCAUAUCUUUUUAGGCCCUCUAAAAUGACAAAAUUAACUUUGGUUAAAAAUUGCACUCUUAAAUAAGAUUUUGCACUCUUAUUUGCAGAAUAAGAAAAGUUAUUAGUUCUGGUAUGGAUAUACCAAAGGUGUAAAAAAGAAAUCACAAAUAUAUCUGAAAAUAGCAGACACAUUUAUGUUGAACCGCUCUAAUAUUUGCAUCUCUGUCAAACAGGUAAUGAGUGUUCAUGUUGAAAUAACUGUUACCAAUUUCAUAAUAGUAACUGGCAAAAUAAUAGAAUAUCAAUUUCUUCUUUUGACAUAUACAACUCAAUGCUCCACCCAGUACUCGUUGUCAAAACAAAACAAAAACUGUCCAUAACCACUUUUUUCAUUUAUCUUUAGCUAUGUCAUCUUAUAAAAAUACCAUUCAAAUCAUUUAAAGCGAGAGAAGUACAUUGUAAAAUAAAUAUUGUCCAUUGAAUCCCAAAAAAAUUCCAUCGUCAAGUCUAAAACUACAACAUGGUAUCGUAUAUGUUCAAGUGAGAUUCAAACGAAGCUUUAAUUACCUCUAAAGUUGUCAGUAGAGGAUGAAAUGCACAACUCAAUUGGACCAUCUUUCACAAAAUUAAUUAGUAUGUUUUCAUCAUAUCACUUUCAUGCAUACUAAAGCAGAUUGUACUGCACCAAUGUUGAAGAAUAAACGGCCCCCAACCUGAGUUCGGAUAUGCUCGAUUUAGAUUAAGCUCCAUUUACUUCAUUUAAGAUUUGGAUUUUUGACAUGUGGCAAAAAAAAUCUAACGGUUGAGAUUUUAAAUUAAAAAAUAAGAAAAUGUUGUUGUGAUAUGAGAGAAGAAGGGAACAUGAUUUGUUUGUUAUUAUUAUGUAUUUUUAUUAAACAAAUAUUUGUUUUUUUAUUUAAAAUCUUAACCGUUAGAUAUUUUUUUGCAACAUGUCUUGCAUCCAAGCUCUAAAUAAAGUAAAUAGAGCUUAGCCUAAAUGAAACAUACCCGAACUCCUCAACCCCACCAUUAAAAUUGAAAGGGUAGAAUGCAGAUAACAAAGAAAUAGAUAGCUCUGUUACAUUAUUUUUUUAAUGAAUGGGUAUUCUUUAAUCACGACUAUGAAGAUUAAUAUCUCAAACCAGCUAAGGCUACAAUAGAUGGCAAAGUUCUUCUUCACGAGAUUUGUCUAGCAUGAGUUUGAUUACUAUAAUUAAUUAACUAUAUUAGAUAUGUUUGAGGUAAUUGUAUAUUGUUGAUAAUUAUAUGUGAUGCUGCUUUCAAUUUUCAUGCGAAAAAUUGGUUUGUAGCAAGGACAACGGAAACUAUUGUCUUGAGAAAUAUCUGUUGGCACUUGAUCCCAACCAUCUCAAAGAUAGUUUUUUAGUUUUCUUUCUUAACAUCAAACAGUGUAGUAAGAUAGGAAUUAGGAACAGAGAGCGAUAUGAUUUCAUUUAUUUCUUAUUCAAGUCACUUUCAAAUUAGUUGAGUUGAUGCUCCAAAUUAGCUACCACGUCUUUCAUGAAAAAGGGAUGAGGUGAAGAGCUCUUUUUCACUAUUUCACAACAAAAAUGGGUUAAAAUGUAAAACUGUGACACUUUCAAGCCAAUGAUAUCCAUUUUAAAAAUAAAGCUAAUAUUGCAUAAUCAAGAGUUAUCAUUUUUCAAUAAUAGUUGAUGUUGGAAGACAAUACGUGUAUAUGACCUACCUAUAAAAUCACAGUGCCCCAAAAGUGUAGGUGCAUUCACCAAAAAUUGCCUAAGGUAGUGGUAAUGGCAAGCUAGUAGUCACAUUCCAUUCCGCCACCAAAUUGGCACACAUCAAACUUUCAUUCAAAACAAUGAACUAAAUGUUGAAACAUUUUCAUAUGAUUAUGAACAAAGUUGUUCCUACAUGUCUUUCCCAAACACAAACGGGUCACACCAUUGGAUGAUUUAUGGCUUUCCUCUAUCCAAACAAACUUACAAAUACUACGGUCUCAAACACUGCAGACAGAUUUCAAUAUCAAAAAGCAUGUCAAAUUAUUAAAGUACUCCAAUGAGUAUAGCAACUUUCACAAUUUUAGUCCCAAAAAAAUGCAUUAUAAAAAUAAAAUGGCUUAAAUAUGAUAAUCGUCCCUGUAAUUUGGUCAAGUUUUGAUUUCCGUCCCUAUAAAAAAAAAACUUUGAAAUACAUCCUUGUAAAAAAUAAAUUUGUUUGAAAAAGGUCUUUGGCCCCACUAUUCAGCUGAUUUGGCAUGGUUUUGGCCACGUGGCAGUUGCUGACUGUGCAACUUUUGCCAUGUGGUGUGCCACAUAAUAUUAAAUUUUCUUAAAAAAAUUAAAAUUAUGAAAAUUGUUUUUAAAAUUAAAAAAACUGAAAAUAAAAUUUAAAAUAUUAAAAUAAUUUUCUGAUUUAUUUUUUUGUAUAAUUUUUAAAAUAAAAUAAUUUUUUUUUGCAAAAUAAUAUAUAUUCAAAAAUUUCUGAAAAAAAUAAUAAUUUUUUUUUAAAUUAAAAUUUUCAUAAAAGAACAAGAAAUUAGAAUUUUUUUUUUUAAAUUAUAAUUUAUUUUCAAAAAUUUUAAAUUUAUAACUUUUGAAAAUAUAAUUGUCAUUAUUUUGGAAAAAAAUUUAAUGUAUAAUUUUCACAUUUUUUUAAUUUUAAUAGUUUUUAUGUCAAAAAAUUAAGUUUUCAAAGAUUUUUUUUCAGAAAUAUUUUAUGAUUUUUAAUUUUUUUUAAGAUUUUUUAAAUUAAAAAAAAAUAAUUUUCAGAAUUUCAUUUUUAUUUUUUUUAAUUACGUGGACUACCACGUGGUGAAUAACAUGUCAAGUCAGACAUGAAGUGGGGCCAGAGACCUUUUUCAAUUAAAAUUUUUUUUACAGGGAUGUAUUUCAAAGUUUUUUUUUUACAGAGAUGAAAAUCAAAACUGACUCAAAAGGACGAUUAUCAUAUUUAAGCCAAAUACAAUUUAUUCAAUGAUGCCACGCGCAUAAAAAAUUGAAUAAAAUAAAUAUUUUUAAGUUAUUGAAUAUGUACCCUUUAAAAAAAUGAUUAUGUAUAGUUAAUUGUGCAAAAACCACAUUAAUUCUGUAAAAAUAAUGAAUAACUUAUCUACCACGUAAUGAGCUUAAUUAAAAAACAAAAAAGAUUACUUAUAAUAAAUUUUUAAAAUGAGGUAUAAUAUGUUAAAACUAAAAUAUCAUUGUGCAAAAACGAUAUUGUCUUGUUAAAGAGGAAUUUGAUCCACAUCCCGUUUCAUAGACCAACUGUUUUUCUAGAUAAAUGGCCUGUGUUAAUUUAUCAUGAUAGCCAUCGAAGAGGACAUGCAUGCAGUUGGAAGAAAAUGACAUGCAUAAACAGACUCUUUUUCUCAUUGUCUUGUUUCUUACCCUCAUCAACACCACACCCAAAUCACACUUCAAAAAUAGCAAUACUUGUUUAUAAGAAUACACAAAAAAGAUUUAAUAUGAGAAAGAGAGAUAACAUCAAAAAUAUCUUGAUCAUAAUAUUUAAACACUAUUUAUUUACACUUGUUCUGUUGUUCAUAAUGGAUUAUUGAAUUUUGGAUUAAUUAAGUUUUUGGUCCCUAUAAAUAUCUGCAGUUUUGUUUUUAGUCUCUAUAAAAAUAAAUAAAUCGCAUUUUUUAGUCCCUGCAAAAUUUUCCGUUAGUGUUUUUAGUCCCCGAUAAAUUAAAAUUUGUUUAAUUAUGCUUAAAAUUUUAAAUUUUUUAAUGAUUUUUUACAUACUUGUUUAAAACAUUAUAAAAGGUUCCGCCACAAUAAAUUAGCUCAAAAUUUUAUUUUUAGGUUCAAAUUUUCGUUAGUUUUAUCUUGAAUUUUUGGCGUUUUAUAAAAAUUAUAUUUAAUUCAUUACAUGUUAAAAAAUUCUAAUUUUUUAUAAAAGAGAUUAUUAUAAUGUUCUUAACAUAUCUGUUAAAAAUCACUUAAAAAUAUAAAAGUGUAAGUAUAAUUAAACAAAUUUCAAUUUAACAGGGACCAACACAUACUUUUAGUUCUUGUAAAAUUAAAAUUUGCUUAAUUGUGCUUAAAUUUUUUAAUUUGUAACAUAUUUUUCAUAUACUUACUUAAAAUGUUAUACAAAGUUCAUCCGCAAAAAAGUAACUUAAUAUUUUAUUAUUAGAUCCAAAUUUUCAUUAAUAUAAUCUUGAAAAUUUGGCUUUUAGAAAAAUUCAUAUUUAAUUCAUUACAUGUUAAAAAACUAUAAAAUUUUAUAAAAGAGUGUCUUACGAUGUUAUUAACAUGUAUGUAAAAAAUCUUUUAAAAAUUUAGAAGUUUAAGCAUAAUUAAACAAAUUUUAAUUUAACAGGGACUAAAAACACUAACAGAAAAUUUUGUAAAGACUAAAAAGUAUGAUUUAAUUUUAUAGGGACUAAAAACAAAAUUGCAGAUAUUUAUAGGAACCAAAAACUUAAUUAACCUUAGAAUUUUUUUUUUAGCAGUUUUACAAAUCUUUUUUUCCUCUGGUGUUGGACCAUUGGCAACGUUGACUGAUUGUCGUUAUUGUAAAAGUGCCAAUGAUCAUUUCACCCCUCUCUGGCCUCUUCAACCUGCCACUCAUUGCUCCUACCCUCCAAAAUAAUUAAUAUACAGAUAUAGACUUAUUUCAACACCUUUAUCUAUUUAAUAUUAGGAUUUUGCACUCGAUCAGUAAUUGAUGAUAGAACCUAUAAACAGACACUUAAUUAAAUUCUAAUCGUUUAUUGGGGUAUGUUUGAUUUUGUGGUAGAUAGUGAAAUGAAAUAAUCAACUCCCUCCAUUAUAGUUUAACUCAUUCAUUUGUAAAAAAAUAUUGUCCCAAACAUAGUUUUGAAAAAUAUGUAUUCUCUUUUUAUUUUUUAUUCUAUCUUCAUAAUAUAUUAUACAAGUAAACGUUUCUAUUUUUUUAAAGGGAACCAAACACUCUUUUUUAUUUUAAGGAACCAAGCUCGCUCUUAUCAUUUAAAUAUUAUUGUCCGACAUCUUAAAUAUUUUAAUAAAAAAAAUUUUACAAUAUUUUUUUUGAAAGAAUAGUUUUAUUUUACUAUAUUUAUUUGAAUAUGUAUUACUCUCUUCGUCCAUAUAUUUAAACACCCAUUUGAUUUUAUUUUUGUCCUUAAAUGUAAACCUUUUUUAAAUUACAACACUCAUUAAUUAUUUUAGUUUCUAAAGUGACCGAGUCACCGAUUCAAUCCGAGUUAAUCCGGUUAAAUAACUAUAUAAAUUUAAUCUAAGGACCGAGUUAUCUAACCGAGUCAUCCGAGUGGUUCCGAUUCAGUCAUGCGGUUCGACCAAUGACUCAGUGGUUCGACCAUUGACCCAUUGACCCAGUACCUCCGCCGAGUCGAUGACCGAGCCGAGUUUUAAAACUAUGGUCCCAAGAAUCUCGACUCAUUUCACUUUUCAAUACAAUAUUAAUUACUUUUUUUCAAUUAUAACUGUAAUUAAUACUAAUUUCACAACUCCCAAUUCAAUAUAUUCUACUUUACAUUUAUGAUAAAGAAGAAUGCAACAAUACUUGAAAAAGGCACUCAAAACUAUAUUUCUCUCUUUCUUUUAUACAUUUUUCUUAAUCUGUGUGAAAUGGAAAAUUAGUUCAGUUAAACUGGGACGGAGGGAGUAAUUUUAUUUUUAAAGAUGAAAUAUUCUAAUUGUAUUUUAAAAAAUGGACGAAAUAUAUUCUAUUUUAUUUCACCCCAAAACACCUUACACAGCUGAUUCAAACCAAUAUGAUAUAUAACAAAGUCAAACUGAAUCACUUAAAUAAGGUUUUGUUUAGGAGAAUGAUAACUAGUGCCCUAAGGGCAAUGGUUAAGCAUCUAAAAUAAGUAAGUUUUUAUGAAAAAACUAUGUAAUCAUUACUUUAUAAAAAAUAACAUUUUAUAUUUCCAAGACAAAAUUUUUAUUUGUAGAUUCCUUAACCAUUAACCUGAGGGUACUGGUUAGCAUAACCCUUUUGUUUAUAAGCCAAGUUAUGAAAAGAAUAUGGUUUAGAGGUCAAAACCGACUAUGGAUGAUCAACCAAAUUCUACUGCGGAAAUUAGUUAUUUGCAAAAUUGGUGGAUAUAUCACACAUGGAAUAUAAUGCUAGCGGCAUACUCUUUAGCACACAUCAAUAUACCUUAGCACACAUCAACAUACUCUCUUUUAUAGAUUAAAGUUCACAUGAGUUUUCACCAAAUUUAUAUGGAAAUCAUAUGAAGUGGCGAGAAAUUGAAUUAUGAUCAAUAAAAAAGAAUGUGUUGAAAAAUGUACUUGUAGACUUUUCAGCCACUAUUAUAAGGAAAUAUUCUUUUUUCAAAUUCAUUGAAUAAGUAAUCGAUCUAGUUUAUAAAUUAUGAGGAAUGCUGACAACACUCACUUUUGAACACUCUCUUUAGCAAUCACUCUUUUGUUAGAUAAAAUCAAUGUAUGUCCCACCGCUUUGUGUAGGUUCUGUUUUUAAUGUGUAGACUCAUAAUGAUUUAAACCAACAAGAGAGUGAGUAUUAGAGAGAGUGUUGCUAGCACUUCUCAUAAAUUAGAUGAUACAUUAUUUAUUCAAUAAAUAUGAAAAGAUGAUAUUUACUUAUAAUAUUGAUGUGUUAACCGCCCUCGUAAUAUGGUUAUCUAAAAAUACUACUACGCAUGUUUGGUUUUUCGUUUGAUAACAUAAAUUCGACUUUAACUUUAUGUUUAAACAUCACUUGAAAACUUACAUACAUGAAGAGGAGAUUACAAAUUCGAAUAUGGGUAACCUUAACAAUAUUCAAUUUAACAAUAUCGAUAUUGUCCGCACUAUUAUGAGUUGUUUUAAUAUUUCACAGAAGAUACUCUUAUAUAUUAUUAUUAUUCUAUUUUAAUCUAAGUUAAAAUAGUUUAUAUUUAAAUCCAUUUGAGCCAAAAUAAUCCAGAAAUAAUAAUAAUCCAUGUGAAUCCAAACAAGUCAUUUAAGGAUGAAAUCCAAACAUGUAACAUAUGACCCCACAUGUGAAGAGGUAAUACGACUACCACGUCACUAUUUCCACCAUUUCCAUGAUGCUCCUGUUUUCCGUUAUUUACUCAUUAUUUAUUACUUGCGGUAGUAGUAGUAGUAGUGGACGCUCGUAUUAACAAAACAUGUGUUUCUGUUAGAAGAGACGUUCCAAUUCACACCAUUUUUAUCGUACACCGUUACAUCCACCGCAACAAAAUCAUCAAAAUAAAGCCGUUAACGCUUGUUCAAAAUCUUAUGUUAUGUGUUCACCACUUUACUCCUUCUACUAGUGUUGCCCCACUUUUUUAAACCACAUUCUUAACCAACCCAAACACAAAACAACCCAUUUUUUCUCUUCUCUAAUACGUGCUUUGGUGCAAAUUAAAGUUACGGAACAAAAAGACAUUCUUUAUUUCAGAUCUGCAACACAAGAAAAAUUGCCUUUGUCUUUCAGCCAAGUGAAGUGAGUAUUACUUUACUUUUCUUCCUAUAAAUUUUGAAUUCCACUGAAAAGUGUUUACUGAAUAAAUAAAGAAAUUCCUAAAAGAUGAAAUUCAAAAAUGAAAAAUAAUAAAAAAUUACUAGAAUUUUAGAAUAGAAAGAAACACAAGCACCUGCAAAGCUCUUUCUUUUAUGCAACAAGUUUCUCAGUGUCAGUUUCUACUUUCAUAGACAACCUUCUAGGAAUCACAAUUUGAAUUUUUCUCUCCAACCCUUUUUCUCUUUUCUUUAUUUUUCGAUUUUCACAAGCGGGAAAUUUCAUUUUUUUUCCCACUCUAUUACACUAACAUUCUUGUACUUUCAUUUGAAUCUAUGCAGCAUUAAGCUUAUUGCAGAAACUACUUGAAGUGGAAAAACAUGAAAUUUCUUUACAUUUUAUGCAUAUUGUUGUGUAUAUGGCAAGGAAAUUGUGACCCUGUUGAAGAUAAAGAGGUUUUGCUUGAUUUUGUGAACAAGUUUCCCCCUUCAAGGACUUUGAAUUGGAAUCAAAGUUCUUCUGUUUGUGAUAAUUGGACUGGUGUUACUUGCAAUGAAGAUAGGUCUAGAGUUAUAGCUAUCCGUUUACCUGGUGUCGGAUUUCAUGGCAAUAUUCCACCAAAUACUAUCAGUAACCUUUCAGCUCUUGAAAUUCUUAGUCUUAGAUCCAAUUUAAUAUCUGGGUUUUUUCCAAGUGAUUUUUCCAAUCUAAAAAACUUGUCUUUUCUUUAUCUUCAGUCCAAUAAUUUAUCUGGGCCUUUGCCUGAUUUCUCAGUUUGGAAGAAUCUUACUGUUGUUAAUUUGUCUAAUAACAAAUUCAACGGUACUAUUCCGCUUUCGCUUUCUAAUUUGACUCAGCUUGCUGGUUUGAACCUUGCAAAUAAUUCCCUUUCUGGUGAAAUUCCUGAUAUUCAUUUCUCAAGGUUACAGGUGCUGAAUUUGUCUAACAAUGAUUUACAUGGUACUGUGCCUAAAUCUUUACAAAGGUUUCCUGAUUCAGCGUUUGUUGGGAAUAACAUUACUCUCAGAAAUUUUACUGCCGUUUCGCCUGUGCUUUCGCCGGUUUAUGAGCCUUCUUCGAGGUCUGAGAAACGUGGGAGGCUAAGUGAAACAGCACUGCUGGGAAUUAGUAUUGUUGGCAGUUUACUUGGGCUUGUAGCAUUUGGUUUUUUGAUGUUUGUUUGUUGCUGCUCUAGAAAAAAGUAUGAAUUUGAUGAUGAUGCAUUUGUUGGAAAGUCGAAUAAGGGAAAAAUGUCUCCGGAAAAAGCAGUUUCGAGGAACAUGGAUGCUAAUAAUAAACUGACUUUCUUUGAGGGAUGUAAUUAUGCAUUUGAUUUGGAAGAUUUGUUGAGAGCUUCUGCUGAGGUGCUGGGAAAGGGAACGUUUGGUACUGCUUAUAAGGCGAUUCUUGAGGACGCGACUGCGGUUGUUGUGAAGAGGUUGAAGGAAGUAGCCUUUGGAAAGAAGGAUUUUGAGCAAUAUAUGGAGAUUGUUGGAAGUCUUAAACAUGAGAAUGUAGUUGAGCUCAAGGCAUAUUACUAUUCCAAAGAUGAGAAACUUAUGGUAUAUGAUUACUACAGCCGAGGGAGCGUCUCUUCUUUGUUGCAUGGUAUGUACCUUUAUUUUAACCAAUUGCAAUUUCAUAUGUCUACUAUAGUUGAAUCAAAUGUAAAUAGAUAAAUAUGUGCUUAUUUCAUGUCUAUGGCAAUGUUUUGCAUGAAAAAAAGGGUGUUUCUAAUCUCUUGCUUGUUUAAGUAGCUUGCUGUACAUGUUCAAUUCUUUACUAGCUUAGUUGUUGUAGCUACUAACAAUUGAAUGGGCACUUUGGCAGUAUGAACUUUGAAGUUUGAAAAUGUAGUUGGUUUACAUGUUAGUGUUUUCAGAAACAUUAGGAAUAUUUACAUUUUAGGUCACAAUAUCAUGAAAAUGGAUUUGAUGUGGUUGUUUGUCACUCUAGUAAGUCAACGAUCUCUGCAGUUGAUGAAGAUAGGAUGAUUGAAUUCUGAGUACUCAAUUUGUCGAAGUGGCGAUAUGAAUUACUUGAUUUCUAAUCAACGACUUAAGUUGACUGACUGCAGUGACUGUGGGAAACAUGAUUGCUGAUGUUUCAAUUUCUGAUUGCUAACUGUACUAGUAUUAAUUUAAUGCCUCCAUGAUAAUAAACAUCAUGGAAGUUCACAAUCUUACAUAGGGUAUACAUGAUACUCAACAUUUUAUGUUUUGCUAGAGAAAUAAAGAUAAGUUUUUCAAUAAAUGGAAACUUGUCAUAAAAAUGUUAAAUUAGUACAUCAAACAAAUUACUCAAUGUCUUCAAUAUAUUCUCCUCAUUAUUUUGCUUUAUGAGAAUUUCAGGGAAAAGAGGAGAGGACAAGGUGCCAUUAGAUUGGGAUACUCGGUUGAGAAUAGCUUUAGGUGCAGCAAGAGGCAUUGCUCAAAUCCAUGUCGAGAAUGGCGGUAAACUUGUCCAUGGCAACAUCAAGUCCUCAAAUAUCUUUCUCAAUACCAAACAAUAUGGUUGUGUAUCUGAUCUUGGUCUAGCAACCAUAUCAACCUCGCUUGCCCUACCCAUCUCACGUGCAGCUGGUUACCGAGCACCUGAAGUUACAGACACAAGGAAAGCAGCACAGCCUUCUGAUGUUUACAGCUUUGGUGUGGUAUUACUAGAGCUUCUGACCGGGAAAUCGCCUAUCCACACAACUGGUGGUGAUGAGAUUAUUCACUUAGUGAGAUGGGUUCAUUCAGUUGUACGAGAGGAGUGGACUGCCGAAGUGUUUGACUUAGAGUUGAUGAGAUAUCCAAAUAUAGAAGAAGAGAUGGUCGAGAUGUUGCAGAUAGCUAUGUCAUGUGUUGUAAGAAUGCCUGAUCAGAGGCCUAAGAUGUCAGAAGUUGUGAAGAUGAUAGAAAAUGUGAGACAGAUUGAUAAUACACAGACUCAGCCAUCAUCUGAGAAUCAAGGAGGAGUUAAAUUAUCAUCUCAAACUGAUUAUGAUAACAUUAACUCCCCUUCUUCCACUUCAUCCCCCUUACCAAAAGGAAGUGAAUGAAAACAAAGUAAAGUUGUAGCCUUUUAUUUCAUUUGAGUGUAUCUGUUCCACGUUCUUAACAAGAGCAAGAUGAUUAACUACUGUUAUUUUUGUCAUUUUUUUUUAGCUUCCUGAAUUAGCACCACCUUGGUGCAAUAGUCAGGUUUAUUACAAAUUACAAGCAAGCAUUGCUUUGUAUGUUUGUGUUUGUGUGGAGAUGAAUUAAAACGUGAAGCAUUUUUCACCCAAGCCAAACAACAUACUAAGAACUUAAAAUUUUCCUGUGUAUAUCAACCUGAUCUGAUGUGAUCUUAUCUUAUGUGUGGAUUGAUGGUAUAUGUUGUUGGAACGAAGUGGAAUAAUAUGAAUUGAUAUAACAUUAUAUUUUUAAAAACUUAACUCCAUCAUAUACCACUAAUUCAAACAUUCACGUGAUCUGGGCGUAGUAAUAUCACGGUGUCAUUGCAGUAUAUUCCUUGUCGUUUCUUUGGUAAAUUAAAUUUUGUAAUUUUUUUAUGUAAGCAUUUUAGAUGACUGCAUUGAAUGCUGCAAUUGUUAUUGAUUCUACUUGUUAUUAUACUACCAAACGAAUUCACGUGUUCGAACCUUCUCCUGUCUCUCAUUACACCCAAUUUUGUUGGCCAGUAUAAGUCUUCAGAAAUGGACAUAACAUACAGUUUACAUAGUAGUUUGUAUUUUUCUGGUUUCGACAUUUAUUCCAAUGGACCAGUGCCUAAAGACAAUGUCUCAUUAGAAAGAGACAAUUAGAAAGAGACAAUUGUGGGCAUACCGGUGAACUGUUUCCUCAUGCCAUUCAUUUUCUUUCAGAUUACUUGCUAUCUAAAAACAUGUUUUGGUGUGUUUCUUCACAAAGAGAGAUAUAUAAUCUGUUUCACGUGUUUAGAAGCUCACCUUAAUAAUGAUAAUCUCAUUGACAUUUUUGUUGGGUGCUCUGGUAUGAAGUUAUUUUAAGCUAUUGAUCAUAGUUUGUAGUUUGAGCAGCAACGGAGCAAUCUGGGUUCACAACGGAAUGUGAAUUAGGAUGAAAUGCAAUUUUCACUAGUUAACCAAUGACUAGUUUCUUGCACUAGAAAUUUCACAAGUUAUGAAUCUCACUCAAUCAUUAGUUUUAGAUUAAAUGACUCACAUAACACAACUGGUCAAUCAAUUUUAAAGGAUCUUGACUAUCAAUUUAAAUUAGACAAUCAAGAUCUAUAAUUGUGUCAUGCAAUUAUAACAGUAAAUUCAUUUUCGAUAGUGUGAUGAACAAUCUAAUAAUGCACAUGUCAUCAUUGUUUAUGUGAACUACUCAUAUUAUAUUAUGUGGUUCUAAAUGUUAUGUAUUAUUUUAAAUAAUUUUAAGGUUAAAUAUUGGCUUCUUUUUAAAAUUUUAAAAAUUCAAUUUUAAUCCUUUUUUUUUAUUUUAUUUUGAAAACUCAGUAUCCGAUCCAAUUUUAAUCCUUAUUAUUUCACUAAUUUUAAUCAUUUCUAAAAUUCUUAAAAUUGGAUUCUCAUUCCACCAAGCCUAUGCACCAUCAAAUCAACUCCAUCCACCUUAAGCUAUGUUUGAUUUCACGGUACAAAGACAACCCUUGCAUCCCUAUGUAUGUUUACUGUGAGUUUUAUGAAACUGGAAUUUGUAGAGGUUGCAAACGCAGACGUGUGAACAAACACAUACUUAACAUGUUUCGGUUCACCUUCAACUUGUGCUCAAUCAAUACUCUCUUAUAAGUUUUUUUUUUACAAGACUCUUAUAAGUUUUUUUGUUUUGUUUUGAGGGAAGACUCUCUUAUAAGUUAAAUGCUGGUUUUUUCUUGAAAUUUUUUAAAGAAAAAUGCAAGUGAGUGUCUUCUUAGAGCAUUGAUUAAGAAAAUAAUUUUUUUUUUUUAAGAAACUAAAAUGAGAUAUAUUACCACAACAAAGGCCUUCCUAGUACAAGAUGUGCAAAGGAAUAAAAGCCUUACAAGACAACGGUUCAAAAAUUGUUGCACCAAAAAUACAAAAUUUACUUUUAUUUUUUUAACUAAUAUCCUUGGAACAAUUGUUAGCACAAAUCACAAUCCAAUUUUGAUUACUUUUUAUUUGUCGUUUUUAAAAUAAGAAAUAGUAUCAGCCAUUUCUUUGUCAAAAUUAUUUAUUGCAUAGAAGUAAAUUCUUGAAAUGAAAUAAUGAAUAAUUAAAAGUAUUAGAGACCAAUAAUUCCAUUCAAAAUAACAAUAUUUAUUAACUUUAAAAUGAUAAUUAAAAAAUAUUGUAGGAUUUUUUUAUUAGAGUUGUGGUGUUGGGGAAAAUAAAUUAGUUGAAGGAUGCACAAUAGUGACUUGUGGUUGGUUGAAGGUGUGAUACUCGAGUGAUGGUGAGUGUAAAGGAUGGUGGAAUAUGAGGGAUGGUUUUAGAGACUUUAGAAAGGACUAAAUCUAGGUAAAAAAUUAAGAACUAAAUUUAAAUUUUGAGCUCGUAACAAAUUGAGAAUUUUAUUGGAACAAAAAUUAGAUUUAACCUAAUAAUAUUUGGGCCGUACGUAGCACAUACACAAUUGCCACGUUAAAUGGGUAGUUCACACGUUUUUGUUUUUGUGAGCUUAACUUAAUUGGUAGGGAUAUUGCAUAAUAUAUAAUAUAUAUAGGAAUCGGGUUUUGAACCUCGGACACCCCACUUAUUUGUUUUAAAAAAGUAAAUUGUUUAUAACUAGACUAAAUUCGACCAAAAAAUUCACCUAAUGAUAAAAAACGGAUAGUUGCAAACAUAAUUUUAUUUUGACUCGUUCAAAAAGAAGUUGUUUUUUCUUAUAAACACAACACUCAUUAUGCGACAGAGUGAACAUAUUUUUAUAAAAAAUAAAAAUAAAAAAAAAUAAAAAAAAACUUUUUUUGCGAUGCCGAUGAUCAUGUUUGAUUUAGGGAAGUUCUAUUUAACACGACACCUAAACACACGAGAUUCGACGACAAGCAAAUUAAAGGAUGGAAAAAAACCGGAAGAUAUACUAAGUACAACAAAAAAAAAAGGAAAACAUGUUGAUGAAGUGAUUUAAUGCUUCUUGGCACGAUGGCCAACAAGCACGACACACACACACACACGACAAUUUAAAACCGUUAGAUCACCUCAUCAACAUGUUUUCCUCUUUUUUUUUUACUUAAUAUAUCUUCCGUUUUUUGGUCAUCCCUUUAAUUUGCUUGUGGUCGAAUCUCAUGUGUUUAGGUGUCGUGCUAAAUAGCACUUCCCUUGAUUUAAUUAGAACUUUUUUUAAAAUAAUUCUAUAAGUUUCCUCCAAUGAAGAAGGUAGUUCCAUUUGAGAUGUUGAGGAAUAAAUAUGAGUAUCUCUCAAACAAAAAUUAAAACUAAUUUAAUUUAAUUAAUUAAUUUGCUGAUAUAUAAAUAUACUGGCAUUUUUUUUCUUCAUCCACGUCUGCCCCUCCCUAAAUUCGUCGCAGACAAUGAUGUCAUAUAUCUCCCUUUUUAUAUCACUUUCAAUGUAUUUUUAUAAUGGCAAAGAAAUUCAUUUCAUUAAAAAUUUAAAGGAUCAAUGGUAUGCCAACAUAAAAAUGAUAAUAUUUGGCAUUAUAUAUGGUUUCCUUAGCGAAGAUUAUAAGCAACCAUUUCAUUAAACUACGCUUACAAAAUAAAUCGGUCUCCAAACAAUAAUUUAUUUAUUUUAAUGACAAAUGUUUGUUAAUGGAGUUGAACACAUCCUUGAAAAAAAGGAGUUGAACACAUGAUUUUCUUAUCAAUCUAACCCUACACAAUUCUUAGUAGAUUUUCUAGCGACCUGUUUUACGCUUAUAAGGAAGGAAAUGACAUAUGGGGAUUCGAUGAUUUCCAAGUACACUUUGAAGAUGUAUGUCAAAAAACAAAUAAUUUAUCAUGGGUAAUUACUAUACCUUUGAUAUAUGAAUGAAGUUUAAUAUAUCAAGUUGCAAACCAACGAGUACUGCAAGCUGUUGGAAGAACAGAAAGCCGAAAAUAUUAUUCUACCAUAUGCCUUUGUUGUCGAACCCUCACUGAGAAGUUACAUGGAUCAUGAAAGGAUUACAAGAAUCAGUUGAAACAGAAGUAAUCACCAUUGAUAAAUCUUAUCACAAAAAAGGCUUAACAAAAGAGGUAAGAUCACAUACCAUGCGACAAUUAUGUUCCUCGUGUUACUAUGGCCGCCUUUGUGGUAAGCCAGGUCAUCAUGCACCUCAGUGCAAACAUCGCAAGAGGAAAGACAAUCCUCUUAAAGCUAACUUGACUGAAUGAGGUGACACUAUUGAUGUGGUUAAUUAUAAAUUGUUUGGAAUGGGAGCUGGGAGGUGCAUGAUGAUAUGGAUUACCACAAACAUAACUAAUUUUCUUUUGCAGGUGAGAUUAAUAACAUGAGGAACAUAAUUGUUAUUACUAUUGUGAUUAGGCUUGUGAUCAUAACUCUUUUUGUGAGAAUUAUUAUGAGUCUUCAGAUUUUCUUGGUAGCUAAAGCCUUCGCCUUGACAGCCUUGCUCUUCUUUCAGUUGGUACCUUCGAAACUCACGUGGAAAAUAAUAUUUUUCAUGUUUGAAUUCUUCCAACAGUUUGUGGUAAUUGUUGAUUGACAUCUUCAUUGUUUAAGGCGUGAUCAUUUUCAGCGUAAAACAUUAACCACGGGAUUUAAUACACCCUUCUCAAUGAAACCGAUAAAACAUAACUGGUAAGAAUUAAUAAUCUUUUAUCAAGAAAAUGAAACUCGGAAUUCUGUGUAUCGGUAGUGAAAAUUAGUAUGUUUUUUUGGUUCAAAUAGUAUGCGACUCCAAGCAUAAAGGUGAGUAGCGUGCGUAUAAAAUAUGUGGCAGAUUAUGAGUGAAAGGCAUUUUUGAAUGUUUCUGAUUGAGAGGUAAAUGAAUGAAACAUUGAAACUGUUUGUAUACACAUACAGAUUUAGUUUUUGAAUGUGCCACUCAUAGCACAUAUCCUUUUUGAUAUGCAUGAGUAGAGAGGCUGUUCCUAGAAUCACAUUUAAGCCAAAGACUAAGCCCUCCCUUUUCAAAGGUAAUUUCUAUUCCAUGGAUAGCUCCCGUAAUCUUAGCAAAUAAUGUAUUAUGAUUAUGAUAACCCGAAAAAGCAGCAAAAUAGCCGAAAAUGGAACAGAAAAAUACCACCACAAGCAAAAAGACCCAGACAACCCCUAGUUGAUCCAACAAUGUUACAUUUAAUCACAUAGCAAGAAGGGAGUUGCCAAUUCACCUGCAUAAUUGUGGUAAGCAAGGAGCAUCUUAGUGUUUGCAGUGAAGCUCAUCACGCCGCAUGACGUUUGUGCUAAAAAAAAUUCUAUUAAUUCUCCAGGGAUGAAUCAAAAAGGAAAUCUUUAUUGAUUCCACCUUCACUUUUUUACAAAGAGAAUGAAUCUUUUUAUCCAAACAAUACUUAUGAGGAAUCAAAAAAUAUUCUUAAUCAUAAACAUAUAAGGAAAUACACGAACUUUGAAAGAAAAAAAACAAAGAUAACUUCUUUAUAGGUGAAGAGAAGUUUUCAAUUUCAUAUGCAGGAAAGUCUGUCAUUAUUAAUCUUCUAAAUCAUAAUGGAUUACAAUAAGUUAAGCUACAGUGGUGUUAACGAAAUUUGGUCUUUCUUUAGACAACGCUACUCAUAUUUUUGACUAUGUUCCACAUUUUAUUUUCAAUUCUGUUUUUUUUUUUUUAGAGAAUUUUCAAUUCUGUUGUUGUUGAUACUUCAGUGUUUUGUUUGUCGGCCCUUUUGUAUCACCAAAUAAAAAAUAAAUAAAAAACUCCCUCUCCAUUCCAUUUAAAGUAUUUUCCGGGGAAAUUGUUUCCAUUUACUUGUUCAUUUAAAAAUUUAACGCAACAUCAAUAUUUUUUUUUUGGUCUAGACAUCAAUUGUUAUUUUAUCAAUAAUAUUAUUAUUUUUAGGAGAUUUUAUCAAUAAUAUUGUUAAUUAUUUAUCAUAGAGAAAAAUAGAUAAAGUAUGAUAUUAAUCAUUUAUUAAUUGUAACUUAUUUUUAAUUAUUGAUCGUAGAGAGAAAUAGAUAAAGUAAGAUGUUUGAGUUUUAAAAAAAAAAAAUAUAUCAACAAUGUUAAUAAUGGAAGAUAUAUUAUAUAUAAAAAGCUUAAUAAGUUGGUGGUAAUAGACUUUUAGUAAGCUUUAGCCUAUCUUAUUUAAUUAAAUAAACUUUAUAAAAAGCUUGAGCUCAACCUUUGAGUACCGAGUUAGGCUUUAAAUAGGUCAGAUGGUAGGCUUCUGUUGGACGGUCUGAUCUGUUUCCACCGAUAAACGGAGUCACUUAUUAAUUGUCUUGAUAUAUUUUUUUUUAAAAAGUACACCAUCCUUUUGAGUGCUUGCAAUUUAAAACCCGAAAUAUACAAAAUAUUAAAUUACUCCCUGAUUUUUUUUUUUUGUGUCCAUCAAAAUGCUCUCAUCAUCAAAUAAUUUUAUAAGAAGUGAUAAGGCAUCACAUUAAGGGACAUUAUGGUUUGUCACAAAGUGAUCACACAUCACAGAACCCUACAUGUAAUUUCUUAUUUGUUAAAAAAAUGAAUUUUAUGUGUAUUGGAUAAAAAGUAAAUUAAGUUUUUAACUGGUAUGAAACUUACAUUUAAUAUUGUGUGACGUGAUAUUAUCUUUGACAAACCAUGGUGUCUCACUGUCACUUGAACACUAUGGUGUCAUUUAAACACACUGAUACCUCUAACAAACCUAUUAGACGGAUGAAAUAUUUGAAUGAUGUUAAAUAAUUUGGAGAAUAAUUUAUUUGAUAUUUCAUAAUUUUGGAGUUACAAAUUUAUUGAUAGUUACAAGUUUACGAUCCAAAAUUGCAGUUUACUUGUUUACAAAUUUAUUUUAGUAAAAUAAAAAAAUUAUUUUUGUAGCUUCCCUCAAAAAAUUACUAAAAGAAAAAAGGACAAUGUACUUUUUUUUGGGUACAACGGAGAAUGUACUUUACUAUGCAGUUGUAGUAAUUUUGAAUACUCUUAUGAUCGAUUAGCACAAAUAAUUUAAUAAAAUGUUAAGAGUGCAUCAUUAAGUCAUUUUCUUAAUACCAUUACAUUUUUUUUAAUUUGUUGAAAAAACCUUGUAACGACAAUUGAUACUAGAAAGAAAACUUGAUAAUUAAAACAAGCAAAAUGUCAAUCAAUGUACAUGAGAAUAAGAAUUAUUUGAACUUGUGUAAUCAAAUAUUUAAGGGUUAAUUAAGUUUUUAGUCCCUAUAAAUAUUCACAGUUUUGUUUUUAGUCCCUACAAAAUAAAAUCACACUUUUUAGUCCCUGUGACAUUUUCCUUAAGCAUUUUAGGGAUUAAAAAUGUUGAUGGAAAUUUUUUAUAGGGACUAAAAAUGCUGACAGAAAAAUUUAUAGGGACUAAAAACACUAACGGAAAAUUUUGUAGGGACUAAAAAAUGUGAUUUAUUUUUAUAGGGACUAAAAACAAAAUUACAGAUAUUUAUAGAGACCAAAAACUUAAUUAACCCAAUAUUUAAAACUGUAAAAAAUAUAGUUUUCAAUAUAAAAUUUACUCUCUCUGUUUUAAAUUGAGUGUUGUUUCUAUAAUAACUAAUGUCUAAGGCACCGGUUAGCACGGCCUUAGAACAAUGGUCUAAUAAAAAACACAUAACAAAGCAUAUCUAAACAUCAGCAAGAGCAUCCGGCAUUGGUCAUAGCAUUCGUUGACUUCAACAAUAAUAAAUUGAACAAUCUACAAAUGCGUUUAAUUGAUUUAAGUAUCGAGCAUCGAAGCUUCCUUCCCUUUUGUGGCUCAAGGCAUGCUUGCAAGUACGCAACUUGCUUUGAUCAUAUCGCAGUCCCAUUCUUUUUUUAAGUGAAAGUUGCACGGAAUCAAACUAAACUAGUAUUUGUUAUUGGUCUCAAGUUAAAUUUGAAAUUUGAAUAGAUUGAGUUCGAAUCUUAACUAAUACUAGUAGUAUUAUGAAUACAAGUGAAUCGUUUAAGUUUGACCGCCUCAAUGUUUUAUCAACCUUAAAAUUAAGCUCGAUUAAUCAAAUGUUCAAUCAAGUUCCUAAACUUGCAUUGACAUAAACAAGGAUUCUUGAAUGCGACAAUGACCGGUACGGUGCAAGUCAUGCACACUUCAACAAGAAUUGCUACCAACCUUUAUUUCUUGAAGACCAACUCAAGUCUCUCAUUGCUUCAAUAAUCUUAACAUGGUAGUAUAAAUUAGCCAUGAUAAUUAUCUCUAAAUAAUAAUCAACAUAUACAUAUCCAUAUAAACAACAAUUAAAUAUAAGUAAAAGAGAAGGUUCAAUGGACUUACCUGUUCUUAAUAUUUUUGUAUAAUUAGGAUCCUGACAUGACUCUAUCAAUAUUCUUCACUAACAACUCAUAUCUAACCUGCAAAAUAGUAAACAGUUAUGUAAUUAUAACCUGAGGCGUGAUGAAGUCACUAUCCUUAAGGAUUUAUCCGUCUCAUAAUCGCACAGUUUAAAUUUGAUAAACAUGUAAAAUGUAACAUAGGAAGAAAAAUUGAGAAGAAAGAAAGAGUUUUUGUGUUGGUGGAAAAGUGGUAUUUUUCUGAUCAGGAAGUGUCACUCCAAAUUGCUAUGAGAGAAAGUAUAUAUUUUUGGUAUGCUUUUGAAGCGUGGUGAUUUCUAAUAUAAAAAGUGUGCUUCUAUUUUUUGACCACAGUAAAAAGCACUUUGUUAUUAUCAUAUAUAUUCCCAACAUAUAUGUGUGAGAACAUGCCACUAAUUCCACAAAAAUAGCAACAUAAAUAAAACCUUUUUUUUCGGUUGAGAAUAUUAAGGUAAGGUUUAAUUGACUAUGUAAGCAUACCGAGUCAUGGUUAGCUCAUUUAGGAAAUGAUAAAAACGUGUGGAACCAUCAUUUUUUGAUUUGAUUAACAUCCUUUUUCCUCUACCCCAUUAUACAUCGGAUGUGAAAAAACAUUUUACUAGAAGAGGACAAUGAAAGAGAGUGUUAGGUUGGGUAGUGAUGAUCAUAUAUCAAAGUUGCGUGUGGUGGUAGAAGAGGUGUGUGCCAUCAAUUGUGAUCAACGUAUCACCACUCUGUUUCAUUGCUAUAAUACCAAAUCAACCAAUCACAAUUAAAACAAAAGUAAGAACAUCCUUUCAUUGGGAUGACAAACCUCUAUUCCAAAAUAUUUAUAGAGUCCAAAGGGACACUUACAAAAUACAUGCAAGGAUGUUUCUUUUUUAAUAAACCAAAAUUAAAUAUAUUAAUCCAAAAUCAUCUCCCUAGCACAAGAAGACAACCCAAACUAAGGUUAUUCACACCAAACCAUCCAUGAUAAAAAAACAGAAAAUAAACAACCGCUAAGUGAUUAAUAUCGAAUACUAAACAUUAGUUACAAGUUUCCAUCCAAAAAAAUGACAAAGAUUUAACCUUAUCAAACAAUUUACCUGAUAUUUCAACCUUUUGUCUAAAGCAAAUCAUAUUAGACAAUAAACACAAGCAAGCCAUAUAAUGUGCAUGAUCUUAUUUUGGAUAUGGAUCCUCUGCAGUGGCAGGACGUGCUGCUGUUGUGAUUUUGUGUGUGAGGAGAGAGAAAUCAUAAAUAAAAAGGGAAGAAGUAAUAAUGAGAGAGAAAUCAUGUGAGAGAUAGGAACAUAAAAAGGCAGCAGGGAGUGCAGGAGAGAAAGUGCUGCAGAUGAUCCAAUUUCUCUUAUUUUUCUAGAAUAGCCACUGGCCACAGCUGCAGAGAGAUUGUUAUACAAUCAUAAUUUCAAAGAUUUUCCCAGGUGAGAAAUUUAUUAGACAAUAAACACAAGAGUGUCAAAAAUUUCGAAGAGAAAUCACAAACCAACAUUCAACUAAUUGUAUUUCUCAAAAUAUCAUUUAUCUUCAUUCAAUUUUCAAUUGAAAUUUAUUUAUGUAGAUGAAAAUGAACAUAGUAAAAGAACUAGUCUUACAUAGACACAAUCACCAAAUAUAAUAGUGUUUGCUUAUAUUCAAGUAUAGAUCAUAAAAAAUAGAAUUUAACAAAUGUAACUGUUGAAUGUAAUUAAUCGUAUUAUCUAAAAAUCAUACGAACAUCUUUGUUUUUUUGGCAUAAAAUCUUUGUCAUUUAAUCAUUUUUUUACUCAUUCACAUCAAAUGUUAGACAUAUUUGACAUGAGUGAAAAAUAGAUAUAAAUUUGACAUUUUUGCAUUUUUUUAUAAAAUUUAUAUUUGACACUGUACUGCAAUUUUUUUAAGGUUGACAUUUAUAGUUUUUUUAAGGUUGACAUUUGUAGCUAUACAAUCAUACAUUUACCCCUCAAGAAAAAAAAAAUCAUACACUUAGUAUCAAAUUGCUCUUGAUUUUUAUUUUUAUUUUAAUGGUUGCUCUUAAAUUUCAUGAAAUGUUAACAUUUCCUUUCACCAAAACAAAAAAACUUUUACAGAAAAUUUUCAAUUAGUUGAUGAAAUUCGAGGCAAGUCUUGCUUUUCAGUCAAAGAUUAACUAUCUGAUCCUAACUGUCUCACCUCACGUGAUUGGUAUGCCUUCUGUCCGCUCACGUGUCGUUUUGGUAUUUGCCUUACUACUGCGCCAUAUCGUUUUCGUCUCGUAGUAUCUUCAAAGGAUCAGUCGCUUAAUUGUUUUCUGGUGUAAUAGUUUAUUUGAUCUUCUAAUUAAUUUCAAGUUUUCAUUUUAGUUUUAUAAUUAAUAAAAUUUAUGUUUUGGUCCCUCACAUUUGUUUUCAUCGGUCAAAUAAAUCUUAACCGUUAACUUUAACAUCAAGUGUCUGUGGUGGACCAAUAUUAUAGAUAGUCCACCAUAGAUAUUAUUAAUCUGUCAAUUUUAAUCCUUUGAUUUUUUUUUAAGAGAGGACCGUUUGAUCAUGCAAGUCUAUUGUAUCUUCCAAUGAAUCAUCAACACUUAAUUUUUUUUUCCAUUUCUUGAUCUUCUUCCCCAACUUCUUUAUACAAUCUUCAAGAACAUGCAUAAAAAAAUCCAAAAAGAAAUCCAGAAAAUCAAAAAUCAUUUACAUGUUCUUAAUUCCUCCACCAUUCUCAAUUCAUAUUAUAAAAAUAGGAACAUCAUUAAUCAUUAUUAAAUAUUCUUAAACAAAUUUCCUCUCUACCAUCAAAAUUAAACUCUCCAAUUAUGGAUUCCUUUUCCACGUUCCAGGUUUCCUUUUCAACAUGCAAAACAACCCUUUUUGCUGUUUCAACUUCAUCAAUACCCUGCCUAACAUGUAAAGAUCUAUGAAAUUGAAUAUUCAUUAUCUCUUCAACCACUCCAUCAACACUACUCAAACACUCCACUUCACAACCCAAAUUCAAAAAAUUCAAAACUUAACAACAUAACGAGGGUGGAAGACGGGACGGAGGGGAUCUCGCAUGGAGGUGCGGUGUCACCGGCGGGGUUGAAGGGGAAUUAGCUGUCUUUUUGGUUGGGAUUGAAACGAAUUAAAUCUAAUUGGGAUUAGGUUUUGUUGAUGAAGGAAAUUGAGUGAGAAUUCAAUGGAAUGUGGUAAGGAUUGCAAAAUUUUGUAGGAAACUGAAUCACGGAGAAGAAAAGAAAUAACCGUUUAUUUUUUCAAUUGCAAAAUUGCUAUGGAGUUGAUGGAACAAUUAUAAUUUUGCAGUUAUGUUUCUUUUGAAAAAAUAGGAAUUUCGAUGGAAAGAAUGAUUUCUAUGGAAAAAAUAAGAACGAUUACUAAUUGUUUCUUUGAACAUCCUUUGUGUUUGAUGAUUGAUUCCACGUUUGGAUUCAACCUAAGAAGGAGAAGCUUGGGUUAUUGUUAUUGAUUUGGAUUUUGCAUAUUAUGAAUUAACUAUUUGGAUUUGAUGGAAUUUGUUUUUGGGAUUUUUAUGGUUUUUUUUCUUUUCGAUUUCUUUGAAUGUUUGAAGAGAUGAAGAUCCAGAUUUUUUUAGAAAAAUAAAGUGAGUUUUAAUAUUUAAUAAUUUUCUGGAUUUUUUUGGGUCUGUGUUGAUGAAGGUAUGAAGAUGGUGAUGAAGAUGAUGAAGAGAAUGAUGGAAGAAGAUGAAGAAAGUUGAAAAAAUAGUUGGUGGUGGUGUACAAUUAGAUAUAGUAGACAUGCAUGAUCUAGUGGUAGUAUUUUUAGAAGAAAAAAAAUAUCAAACGGUUUAAACUAAAGAAAUUAAUAAGGUCUAUGGUGGACCAUAGGCACUUGGAGUUAAACUUAACAGUGUGAGAUUUUUUUGACCGACGGAGAAACAAUUAAAGGACCAAAACAUAAGUUUUAUUACUUAUGGGACCAAAAUGAAAACUUAAAAUUAAUUAAAGGACCAAAUGACCUAUUAAGCCUUGUUUUUUCUUUUGUGUACUCAAAAUUGAAAUGAAAUAUUAUAAAGAAAAAUAAAUUUCACCCAAAACAAAAGUGAAACAUAAAUAUUUGAGAAUUGUUGUUUACACUUUACAUAAGGUUGUACCACACGAGUAUUUUACUCUUUUGCCCCCUCGAUAGUUAACUGCCGAGGAAUUUGAAAUCCGGCUGCAGUUAACUGCCGAAGAAAACUAAUUAUGCAGACAGUGGGUUCUGCAUAAUUUUAAACAUUUCCAAGCCAUUUUUUCGGCCAGUUUUUACAUGUAAUUAAACCAGAGCAUUUCCAAAGGCAAAAUAAUUUAUACAAGAUUGAAACUCGAACAUAAACAAGAUAAAUACAAUAUUUUUUACAAUUGUCCAUGAUUAAAUUAAACCGACAUUUGGUUCAAAUUACACAAACGUUUGAAAUUACACAUCAUUAAAUUAAGUCCCUACUUACAUUCAACGCAAUUGCAUAUGGAGCGAAUAUACAUAUAUAAUAUAUUAUCUUCCACCAUAUUCCGAAAUAUAAAUCCGACGUCGCUAUCGUCAUGAAUAAGCCAAGGCAUAUAACUUGUCGUUUUCCAUGCGUAUUCAUCUCUAUCUUCUCCUAGGUCUAUGCAUGGCAUUUGACCAAACAAGUGACGUGUAUAUUGAUUUUCACCAAGAUGCUCAAAAUAAGUGUUAAGUUGUGCCUUCAAAUCGUCAAGAGAGUCCGUCUGCGUUAUCAUAACCUUAACCGUCUUUUUAAACGCAGAGUACCUAACACGCCCUUCAAUUUGUACAACCUCAGACAUGUCUCAAUACCUGUUUUUUUACGUCAAAAGUAUGUUGAUACCUCCUAUGCUUGAUGCUUGAAUGAUUUUAGAUUAAGAAUUGAUGAAAAAAAAUAUUGGAUUUUGGGAUUGAAUGGUGGUAGAAAUGAAGUUGAUGAUGAAAAUAGUGUGUAGGGGGAGCAUGUGGCUGUUUCAUCUGAUGAAACAUUUCCUCAGCAGUUAACGGCAGCCGAAAUUCAAAUUCCUCGACAGUUAUUUGUCGAAGGGGUAAAAUCGUAUUUUACUAGUGUGACACAACUUUAUCAAAUGUGGGAACAACAAUUCUCUAAAUAUUUUGAUAAGUUUAAGUUGGAAAGUUUAAAAAUAGAUAGAGAUGACAUUUUUUUUAUGCUGAGAUGAAAUCUUUCUCAAAAGCAUAUUAAUCUUUUUUUAAGAUUCUUUAAGUUCUUUUUAAAUUUAUUUCAAAAAUAAGUUAUUUUUAUGUUUAAUGUAAAACAAAUGUUAUUUUUAAGUUUCAUUUUUCCCUUUUGAAUUUUUUUCUGCUUGAUUUGUUCUAUAAAUUUAUAAAUCCCAUAAUUUUUUAUGUUCCAUUUUAUUCCCUUAGAAUAUCUUCAAUUAUCUUUUUUAAGGAACAUGCUUUUAGUUUCAAAAGUUGUGCAAUACUUAUAUAUCACGUAUACAUUUUGUUAUAUCUUUUAAAAAAUAAAAAAUACAUUUUGAUAUAUGACAUUCGUUAAGAAGUUUAAAUUGAAAACUUUAUUUCAAAAAUUAUACAUUCAAUAUAUUAAAAUAACAAAAAUUAAAAUUUUUCUACCUAAAUUUCGUCAAUAAUUUCUUAUUUAAAAUCUCUAACAAGUGCUCUUUGCAUAACCCUUUGUUAUAUAAGUAAAAAGAAAAGAUAUCUUAUAUUAAUGAUGAUUGAAUGCCUUGUUAUGUAACCAAACAUCAAUUUUACUAUCUUAUCUAAAAUACAUCUACGAUUUUUACCAUACUCACUUUGUCACGUCAAAUUCCUUCAAUAUAGAUAAAUAAUAAAGAUAUGAUUCGUUCUUAUAUGAAAUUCACUUAGAUAUCUUUAUUGGAGUACUAUAAACGCAUCUGCAACGGAGCUCUCAACUUUUUCUAUUUAAACGAGUCUCACGUAUACACUUGUUUUAUAAUUUAUGAAUGUUACUACGCACUCAAUAUUUCUAACUUAAUUCCUCAACCAAAAAUUAUAAAUGGGAUCCCAUAAGUAAUAUUAUAUCUUUACAUUUUAAUAAAAUUUAUCUAUUUUAAUAUAUAAUUUAUUAAAUGGAGUUCGGAAAAAGUGAAGAGAUAGUUGGUGCUUUUGUAUUCAUCCUUCUCUGUAGAUAACCAAAUUUUAUAGUCUACAAUUAAGUGUCGAUAUAUUUUUUUUUUUUUUGAACAAGUUAAAAUGGAAUAUAUUAGAUCACAAAAAUGGUUCAACUCGCACAAGAUGUGCAAAGGAGAACCACCCAUCAAAGUACACAAUUAUGAAUUUGUUUCCAAAAAAUAAUAACAGAAGAAUGAUAGAAAAAUAAAAACUACACUAAAAGUGAAACAUUUAGUGAAACAUUCAUCGUUAUGGAUGCUUUUAAAUUGUUUACAUUUUAGGUUUUGGUGUCAUAAGUUGUGAAUUCAAGUUUAUUGAACUUUUUAAAGUCAAAAUUUUAUUCUUUUAUAUGAAAAACUUUUAAUUUUAGAUUUCUUAACUUGUGUCAUAAGGGCACAAGAUAAUAAAACCCUAUAUUAAUAUAAGACAAAUCGACUUUGAUAUUUUUUCAAGUUAAACUUUGACCUCUUUUUCAGUGUCUAGCAUUUAUAAUUUAAGUGUAUAACGUGUCUAAAGUUGGUAAUUUAAGGAACCAAUAUGUAUACAUUUCUAUUUUAUGGACCAAAAUGAAAGAAAAAAAAAACACUAUGGACCAAAAUGUCUAAUUUUAUAAGUUAGGAGACAAACACAAAUUAAAAGACUAAAUUGUAACUUAAAAAUAUCUCAAAAGAGACUUAAAAAUGUAAUUUACUAAAGUGAUUAUCAAUUAACCUCUUUAUUUAUUUUUCAUCAAAAAGAUAGAUAAACCACCUUGUUUUUUUAUCGUUACUUUUCUUCCACGUGCAAAUGAAUUCUUUUUUGUUUUAGCAUAUAAACGAAAUGACAAAGUCUUUAUAAACUCACACGCAAGUGGAAGGACCAGAGUUCGAACCCCGAUCAUGGCAUCCGGCCUAAUAAUUUUGGCAUUUUGUCAGUUGAGCUAGGACUUCUGGAAAAUAAAAAUUGAAAAAUGUUACUGCUACUAUAAUUUUGAGAAGAGAAAUGAUAUUUGUACAACUAAUCUGUGACAACUUUUGUACAACUUUAUUUCUGAUACUCAUAUGAUGGUCUUAUCUCUAUCUUCCUAACAAGGUUGUCAUUAAAGUUGUCAUGGAAUGGAUGUACAAAUAUUAUUGUUGUUUUAAGAAACAAUCAAACAAAUGCAUAUUAGUAUGAUCUAACAACAAAAAAAACAAAUGGAUAUACAUUGUUGUUGAAUAUAUCAGCGGGCCAAAUACAAAUAGUAAAUCAAAUAAAAUUAAAUCGUUUGUUAUGAACAAUAAGAAGAAGAUUAUCCGUUCCGUUAUUGAAUAUUCCUAUAAAACAGACAGAUUCCACGUAAUAAUAUCAUCAUCUCUUACUCCCUCACAAAUGCAGAUGCAGACUCAUACUCACAUUUUAUUAGUUCCUAAAUAAAAUUGAAUUGAACAAGUCUUUAGGAGAAAUUAUAGCAAUUUUGAUUUUUAUUUGAUUUGGGUGGCAAGUCAUUCAUUCUCUCCCUUUAAAACGUAAUUUUCUACUACCGUUUCCGUCAAAUAUCUCAUUCAUUCAUUAUUUUCUUUAUAAAACAGUAUUUAAUCCCAUGUUCUAGUUCUUGCUACAUUUCACUCUGACUGACAUUACACUCUCUCCUUUCCUUUUCUCUUUUUUCCCCUUCUUUCUUUCUUUCUUUAAUUCUCUUUCCCCUCCCCCCCCCACCCUUGUCAGUUUCCAUUUCUCCAACAAUUUCUUCCUUUUCUCUCUCUUCUUUCACCAACUUCAUCAAUUCAACAUUCAAUGUUAAUAUUGCUGUCUCCAACAACAUGCCCAAACAACCUUCUACACCUCCUCCCAUUCCCAACAUCAUCAAACACACUCAUCACUUCACACAAAUCAACAACAUCAUGCCAAAAACUAUACAAAUACGUUACACCGACCCUGACGCCACGGAUUCUUCUUCUGACGAAGAAGAAAAUCCAAUACAUUCCAAUAUUACCCCUCGCCGCAGAAUCAAAACUUUCAUCCACGACAUUGUGAUCGAAAAAGAAACCAUUUCAAAUAAAAGAAAAAACCCUAACACCAGAGUUAAAACCAAAACUCCGGCGACUCAACGGCGGCCGGUGAUUUACACCGGGAAGAAAUAUCGUGGAGUGAGACAGAGACCUUGGGGAAAAUGGGCGGCGGAGAUAAGAGACCCCAAACUCAAAUUUCGACGGUGGUUGGGAACUUACAACACUGCUGAAGAAGCUGCUAUGGAGUAUGAUAAAGCCGCCAUUGAAAUACGUGGUGCAGACGCGCUUACGAAUUUCAUUCAACCCACGACAAAGAAGGUUGUUAUAAACUCCAGCAGCGAUGAAUGCGUUGUUUCUGCCACGUCAGUACUUCAAUGUUGUACUUCUUCCUCAGAAGGAGGUGAAUCCGUAACAGUAAAAGACAAUGUUAUCGUUCCAAUGAGUACUGAAUCUUUACGUGAAUGUGAAAAUGAAUGUUCGUCUGUGUCUGGGAAUUUGUUUGACAAUGAUUUAGUAAAAUCUGAGUCAGUUUUUCCGAUUCCUAAUGAUACGUUAUUUGAUGAGUUUGGAAACAUGUUCUUAUUCCAUGAUGAUUUGAGUGGAAGUUUUGUCGAUACUUCGAUUAAUAGUUUGGAUUUAGGUUUCACAGAAUGGAACAGAGAUUAUGGUGAUUUCCAGGAUAUUGGGGAUUUGUUUGGUUCGGAUCCUGUUACUGCUGUUUUGUUUGAUGAAGAAAUGAGCCAAGUUUUGUAACGGUAGGGAGGAUUAAGUUGUAAUCAGUUUUUGUUUUCAUUAGUAGUAUGAUAGUAUUUUAAUUUGUAAUGAGAGAAUUUAUGUUUGUUAAUUAAUUAUCAUGAGGUAUUAGAAGCAACGUUGUUGGCUGUUGCAUUCCAUUAAUAUUGAGUAAGUAACUGAUACUGUUCUAUAGUAGUAGUAACAUAAUUGCUGCAUCCAUUUAAUAAUGUUGUAUCAAUAACAGGAGUAAGUAACCGACUACCACUAUGGUGUUUGUCAAAGAAACUACUAUAAGGUUAUGUUUGGAUUGAGGGAAGAGUACGAAGCAGAGCGGAAUAGAAUGGAGUGAAAUGGAAGGAAUAAAUUAUAACAUAUUUAUAUCAUUUUUACCCUUGUUUAAAAACACACUAUAUUAUUAUGUAAAACAUCUUAUUGCUAAAAUCUUAUUUCCUUGAACAUAAAUGGAAUAAAAAACCGAAAAAUUGAAAAUAAAACUGGAAAUGUCAUCCUAAUUUAAAAAUAAAUUUAUAUUUUAAUCAAAUAAAAUCUCUAUACAACUUGACAAAAAAAAUAAAAAUUCAAACCACACAUUCUUGUAUACCAAUCGAAUUUGUCUUAAAAAAGUAUACCCAUAAAAACUCGAUUAAAAAAUAAAGUUAUUGAAGUCGUUGAUCCUACAUAUCAACUACUUUAUUGAGAAAAAUAUAUAUGUGCUACUUCGUCUACCAUUUUGCACAUAUUGGCAAACACAAAAAUUACGACUCUGAUCAUUAUUCGGAUAAGUCGUUGUAUAUUUUGCCUACAGUUAGCUCGUGUUUGAGGUUCAAGGACAUAUAAGCAAGCUUUAUGUUCAUUGAAGAAGCUUAUAACCAUGGCAUGCCGAAUUAAAAACGAGAAAGAAUGAUUUUUUUUUUUACAGUAGAGAAAGAGUGAGUUUGAGAGAAAGAGUCAAUGGUAUAAAGAUAGGGGUAAAAAAAAUCAUAUUUUUAUCACGAAGGAGAUUCAAUUGGGAGAAAGUCAUAUUUCUCAUGUCCCUCUUCUUUUUUUGUGACCAAAAGGGAAAAUCAACAACGUUAUCUACUAACAUAGCAAAACAAAUCAACAAAGUUAAAAACCUCAAGGAAACACAAUCCCAAAAUUAUCUACUAACAUAGCAAAAUAAUUGAAAUAUGCCAGUAAAUUAAAAACCGAGCUACUCCAUUGGGAGUUAGACCAUGUUUUGCAAACGCGUCAGCAACUUGAUUUGCCUCUUUAUAAGUGUGAGAGAAUAAUUAUCAGUGUCACGUUUACUCUUAGGAAUGUCAGCAACAAAAUUAUAGCGGUGAUGACUAAUAGGGCAGCCAUAUUUAAUCAGGUUGAUCGUUUAUCACUUUUAAUAAAAUUCAUCGAAAUAAUAAAAUAAACUCGUCCACAUUAAAUAUUUCAAUCUCGACUCAGCAAUUUAAUUAUAAUAAGAAAUUAUCAAAUGAGGGUGUAUGCAAGACAUAUAUGUUAGUUCAACAAAAAGUAAAUGGGAUUUGGUAAAUUAAGAAAUUAAAGUGAUAAGUUCUUUCGAAUCGAUUAACUUUAUUUGUUUGGUAAUUGUACCAAUUUUCUACAAGAUUUCGUCUAGUAUCACAAUAAAUUAAAAAAAUGGUUCAUAUCAAUCUCUUAACGUAAAACCCUCAAAAUUUAUAUUUAAUUCACGUUUUCUUAAAAAAUUCUAUUUUUUAUUUUAUUUUAUAUAUUCUUACUUAUUUCCACAAUGAAAAUGUCCAUGCAUGAAGGAAUAGUGUAAAAAUUGAGAGGAGUAAUGUGUGAAUAAAUGUCAUCAAAAGUUCAAUACAUGAAUAGUGUAAAAACUUGAGAGGACUUCUAACAUAAAUGGAUCUCUUUCUCUAUUUGACUUAUCACACAUAUAUAUAUAUAUAUAUAUAUAUAUAUAUAUAUAUGAUCUAGUUGAAUUCAUCAAAAGCUCUCAUUUAAUAUACAGUAGUCUGCAUCUCCCGCUGGUUUUAUAAAUACCGUCUUUUUUAUAUCAUCAUAUCAUAUAAUAUAAUGAUUAAGAUGAAAUAGAGAUUGUAUAACUUCGAUUAUAAAAAGGGUCAGGGACGCAGCUUGUUGUCUAUUUAAAAUUGUACAUGAGAUAUGUGAGAAAGAGUCGUCAAUAUCUGGUAUAUUAAGGAAGGCAAUACAUGAAGGAGUAUUAAUGCAGCUGGUUUCAUAAAUUGAGGAAAAAGCUAGGCUUGGCCCGCGCACGGAUCGAUCGAGUGAGUACUGUCCUUAUCAUAACUAUGAUUUUUCGAACCACACUUGGCUCCCCAUCGAUUUGAGAGUACUACUGAACGAGGCACUUCUUUGGCACCUUAAACAGAUUUGGUCCCCACCUUAUAUUUAUACUACUCUUACAGUUAGGUAUAUGUCCCUAACUCUCUGCAUUUUUACAUGUUAAUUUGCAUUUAAUUAACAUCAUCAUUGAUUUCAAUAUCAUAUUCAUGUACAUACAUGUACAAUCAAUAUCAAUAAUUCAUUACGCAGAACUUUGUCCCAAAUUAAACGUAUGUUCUUUCUAGCGACAAAAAAGGCCACAUCUACCCCAACGAUACUCAUAAUAUUUCUCCGCAUGCAAAUUAACAAGAAAAGUAUCUUGCUUGCUCUGCUAUCUGUUGAAUCACAUGAUAUUCGUACGUUUAUUACUAUCUUGAUAGACCGAGAUGGUUUGCCGAAUUGAAGCAAUGCUCCGUUAACACAAGGAGUAAGACAUUUGAUAUGAAGAUGCGCAAAUUUGUAUUUGUAAUUUCUCACUUAACAUAUGAGUGUGUGUCACCGCGUGCUCUUUAAAAUUAUGAAAAAGACAAUUAAAAAUACAUAAAUAGAGAUUGAGGAUUCAUAUUUCAUAAUACACAAUAGGGGCAAAUUCAAAAUGCCACGCAACUAUAUUGCUUAUGGUACAAGACAUAAACAAAUGGAAAAUUGUGUGCCCACAAUGUACCUUUCUUUUAAGGGCACACAAUAUACCUUAUAUACAAUUGAUGGGCCAAAUAAUAUCAAAACGGUUCAAGCUUAGAUAAAUUAAUAAGAUGAAAUGAUCAAAUCAUUGAACUUUAACCCAAAGUUUUUGGCCUGUCUCACAACGCUUUCCAACAGAGCAGAAGAAAUAAUAGUCCCCAGGCUUGUCCAAAGUAACACUAGAGUUCCCUCUGAAGUAUGUGUAGAUGGUAUCUUUGAUAGUGCAAUGAUCAUAGUCAUCUUUGUAUACCUGAACAACGGUGCUCAUCCCUGGGUUGUAGUUGAAAACUGCAAUUUUUUUAUCUACCUUGUUAAUUUCUAAUAUCAAUUCGGUUAUAUACUUCAAUAGAUCCUAUUAUGCUGGAAUUCAAAGGAGUCAUGUGCGAGAUCUCACAAUUAAAAUUCAUUUACAUAUUUUAUAAAUUGUGUAAUUCAUUAAAUUUUAUCCGUGAGAUCUCAAACAUACUACGUAUGUCAUAUUGAAUUAAUCACAACAUAUACCUCAUGUUUGAAUUGUAGUAUAGCUUGAGUGAAAAAAAUCAUUAUUAGCAACAUGAAUCCAUCCAAAUUUUUGAUAAUUGUGUUCUUAUUGCUUGAAAAUAUAUUUUUUAAUAAAAAGAUUUGAUUUUUUUGUGGUUUUUGGGGUUCGACCUUGCAUAUAUUAUGCAUUGUCCUUAUAAUUAAACUUACGGGAACAUAAAAAAAAAAAAAAAAAAGAAUAAACAUUAUGCCGAGUAAAUAUCAAUAUCAAAUAAUGGAAUUAAGGUGACACAUACGAAGAGUGUCGCCAACGCUGAAGGUUCUGUUCUUGGUCCAGUCAUCGAAAAAUCCAUGAUAUGGAGGUGUACUCCAACCCAAGUUGUCUCCAACAAUGUGAGUUGUUGCUGAAUUUACAGAUACAAAUACAAUGCAACCAAUCAUGGUAAAUAUGAGGAUACUAAGGUGCAUUUUCUCGGCCAUUGUCUUCCCUAGUUAUGUUUCUACUGACUGUCUUAUUCCUUAACUUGUGAUGUUAUUGUUUGUAGAUUAAAUGAGAAGAUGGGAAUGAAUUGAAGUCACUCUUUUAAUAGUGAUCAUCACACAAAAAUUGGCAUUUCCCCUUCAACUUUAAGGAUUUGAAUUAGUCAAACCAAUGCUUAGAAAUGACAAUGGCUCGUUUUCAAGUCUUAAACGAGGAUGUUACCUAUAUUCUUCUGGUUGAAUUGAAGGGAUGUGAGUACUUUAUGAUCCACCCACUAACACAAUAAACACAAUGACACUAUAUUUGGCAAAGUUUAAAUCGGUGUUGUUAUAUUUUAGUAAUAGUUUUAUCACUAUGUGGCAUAUUAACCAAUUAUGUGUAAUUUGAUUUUUUGGUGUAAUUUUGAAAAGUAGUUUGGUAGUAGAAGAUAAAAAAAUAAACAUGCAUGUGUCACAUUUGUUAUACUUGUUUUUUUUUUUUGUCUCAUAUAAAGUGGUAAACGAUAUUGAAAUUAAACUUACACACAACUGUGAGAUUUUGGGUUCGAAUUCGGAUCACGACAUCCGGUCUUGCAAUUUCGACAUUUGUCAGUUGAGCUAGGACUUCUAGACUAUUAUCCUUGUUUUAAUAAAGAUUGUAACUGAACAAGUUAUUAAUUAAUAUUUUUUUAACAAGUUAUUAAUCAAUAUUUUUUCAUUAACACAAUGUGUGAGUUGGUCAUAGAUACUCGAAAGUUAAGGAAUAGGAAAAAAAAAUAGUAGUUCUCGCUUCUCAGGUUGGUGUGAUAAAGUUGUUUUUUAAAAAAGAAAAAUUUAACAUAAGAAAUUGAUAAAAUUAUAAAGUAAUCAAUCUUUUGAUUAAAAUUAUGCAUUGAUACAAUAGGUGAUUGAAUGAUCAAAGUUAAGGAAUAGAAAAGAUUAAUAUCACAGUUGUAGUUAAUAAAACUGUAACCAUUUUGUACCAAAAAAAAAAAAACUGUAACCAUCUUGUUAAUUUUUUUUGUAACCAUUGGUAAAAAAAAAAAAAAAAAAAAAAAACUUGUAACCAAUCAAUUUAUUGAUAAAAAUUUGCAUCAACCCAACAAAUGAGUGAAUGCUCAUACUUAUGGAAUUUAGAGAAAGAAAAUAGUUUAAAGAUGAGUUUGGAAUUUAGUGAUGAAUGUUUUAGAGCGUGACGCUUUGGAUCGAAAAAAUUAAAAUAAAAUGGGAGGAAAUAAACCUAACGUAGUAAAAUAAAUAAAAAAUUCCUUAUGUUAUACCUCCUCUGGUCACUAUUAUAAGCAAAAUUCAACAUUUUAAAUUCAUUCAUUAAAUGAUGUAUGUGGUCUAUAAUACAGACAAUGAACAUCAUUAAUUGAAUGAAUCUAAAAUAUUAAUUUUUGUUUAUAAUAGUGACAUAAUGAUGUAUAGGUUUUUUACCCUUUGAACGGGUGCCAUGUAAUUGACCUUCUUCGACGCAUGUUGUAUAUUGCCUUAGAGAUCACAUAUAUAUAUAAAAGGAGCAAAUAGUCACUUUAGUCCCUGGUUCUGCACCUUGCUGUCACAUAGGUCCCUGACUCAGGAUUAAAUAUAAACAAGUCCCUGACUCUACACUUUCGUUAAAAAAAAUUGUUAAGUGAUGAUGUGGCACGCUGACAAGGAGUAUGACGUGUCAUAGGGACUAAAGUGAAAGUAAAAAAUAGUCACUUUGGUCCCUGAAUCGAAAAUCAAUAUCCUCAAUUUACUGUUAGAUACCUGACUGUGUAUACUUACUCUCAGUUAGGUCCCCGAAUCGAAAAUCAAUAUCCUCAACUUACUGGUAAAAUCCUUGGCAAGUUGUUAGUUUAACAUGCUCCUUACUAACAACACUAAGAUAUCUAAGCUAAAUACCAAAAUUUUAUUAUAACACUUAUAAAAAUGAUUCCAUAGUUUAAUAAUAAAUGUUUCCUUAACAUAACUAUUAAGUCAUUAAUAUCAACCAUAGAAUAAUCAAGAGUUAUAAUUAGAUACCUUAGUGUUGUCCGGAAGUAGCAUGUUAAACUAACAACUUGCCAAGGAUCUUAGUGAAAUUUCGUGUUUACUGUAAGGGACCUAACUGACAGUAAGUAUAUAUAGUCAGGGACCUAAAAGUAAGUUGAGGAUAUUGAUUUUCGAUUCAGGGACCUAACUGACAAUAAGUAUACAUAGUCGGGGAUCUAACAGUAAAUUGUUGAUAUUGAUUUUCGAUUCAUGGACCAAAGUGACCAUUUUUUACUUUCACUUUAAUCCCUGUGACACAUCAUACUCCUUGUCAACGUGCCACAUCAUCACUUAACAGUUUUUUUAACGGCAGGGCUAAAGUAAUAACGGAAGUGUAGAGUCAGGAACUUGUUUGUAUUUAAUCCUGAGUCAGAGAUCUAUGUGACAGCGAGGUGCAGAAUCAGGAUUAAAGUGACUAUUUGCUCUAUAUAAAAGGCUCUUGAAAAGCAAAUUUAUCCUUCAAAAUCUUCAAUAUAUCGCAAAGUCAUGAAAAACCUUGAAAUUUAUAUUUGGUAUGGAUUUUUCUAUAUUUCGCACAACAUUAAGUAUGUUAGUUUAUCAAAAAUAAAUAUUGAAUUCGCAUAGACUCGUGUCAUACCAUAAGUGUUCAACAAUUAAAAUGAUUUUGAGUAUGAAAAAGUAAAUUGUUUAAACAUAUGAUUUGUGGCUUGUGCAACGUAAGUGAUGAAGCAAGAAUAGAGAGAUAUCAUAUUGUCGGGAUUAAACUCUUUUAACUAAUCUUCUAACGUCCUUUCGUAAUCGAUUAUAUAAUACUCCUAUUUCAAUUAUACCUUAAUCUAUCUUUCAUCGUACAUUGAUAUAUCUUAUCGACUUUCAUUACUUAGCAAAAUAUAGCAGAUUGAUCAAUGACAUAUAAUCAAAUAGUUGGAUACGAAUGCAAAUCUAACCCUAUAUCUAAGCAUUAGUAUCUACACAUGGUUUAAACCAAAUCCUUUAAAUAAACAAUUAAUGUCUCACACUUUCUAAACCAAAAAUUCAUUUUUAGCUCGUAUGUCGAAAAAAGUAUUAAGGACACAAGAUUUAAACAAGCUUUAAAUGUCAUUUAAAAAUAUAAAAGUUUAAAAAUAAUUAAAAGAAUCAAAUUUGACGGUGAAUGAAAAUUUAUGGUAAAUGUUUUUGAAUAACCAUUUAUUUUACAAGACGUAAAUAUGCAAUUUUUUUUAAGGAUUAAAAACAAAUUUGGUAUAUUAUAGCGAUAAAAAAAACACCUCCCUUAUUUACCUCAUAGAUAAAUUUUUAGACACUAAACCAAAAAAAAAAAACAAAUUUGAUACUCCCUUCGUCCUAAAAUGUAAGGAAAAAACACAAUUUCUUUAUCCUAAAAUAUGAGCAAAAAAGGCAAAUUUUUAUCCUAUUUAAUCUUGUUUUUUUAAAACUCAUCUUUUCUAAAAAAUAACCUUUUGUUUAUUAUCAUGAAAUUAAAUGUAAAUUACAUUCAAUUUUUUCUCUCUUUCAUUUUUCCAUAAGCAAUAAUCAAUGAACAUUAUUUUUACAUUUUUCUAUAAAAUUUAUUUCAAAAGAAAACAAAAAUUGGGACGGAGGGGUAUAUUAUAGCGAUAAAAAACUUAUUUAACCUUGACUUAAAUAUUUUUUUUUCCAAAUAGUCUAGUGGCUAGAGCUCACAUAAUUAAUUGUGUGGAGAAGUGAACUGUCCGGAGUUCGAACCCCGACCCUUGCAUAUAAAAUGAAAUAUCUUUACCAACUGAAUUAAACUCACGAAUAUUAAAUAAAUUAAUACUCUUACCGUCCCAUUUUAACUUAGUCAUUGACUCAUUUCACACUUAUUAAGAAAAAAUGUACUCCCUCCGUCCUGAAAUAUAAGCAAAAAAAAUAAAAACACACUUAUUAAGAAAAUCAAUCAUUAUUCAUUGACUACUCUAAAUUUUAUCAAAUAAAAAUUCAAUAUUCCUAAUUUACCCUUACACACAUUGAAAACAAAAACACUUCAUCAGUGACACAUUAUUAAUCACGUGUACUAUUUGUAUUCCAUGCAACUAUCCCUCUACUACCUAGUCUUAAUGACAGAUACUUGUAGUCUGCACCACCAACUUAAAUCAAAACUUCUAAUAAUAUCCUCCUUUUAACGAAAUUUUUUGAAUGGAUUUUAUACCCGCUAAAUGAAAAUUAUCAUUCCCGCCUAUUAAAUUAAAAUUUCACAUUUAAAUAUCUAGUGAACUAUCCAGUUUUUCUUACCUCAAUUUAACAAACAUGCCUUUAGAAAUUGAUUUAAACAUGUCUUUAGAUAUUGAUUUAGAAGCUUGACCUGAUCCAAAUGAUGAAGGAGGUGACGUGGAAAACCGCGAGACUGUAAUUAUCGGCGGAGGUACUGCAGUUUUAGAAGCUCAACAUGAUCCAAAUGAUGAAGGAGGUGCUGCAAUUUCAGAAGAUGCUGCAAUUUCAGAAGAUGAACAUGAUGGUGAUGAUGAAUUCGACGAAGGUGUUUCAUGCAAUUUCACAUGUUAGAUUUGUAUUGUUAUUACUACCCUUUAAUCCAAAAGGAGUUCUUAUGGUGUUUCAUAGUUUUAGAUUUAUGAUUGUUACUACCAUGUUACUACCUUGUUAAAUCAUACUCAGAUUUCAUGAUUGUUACUACCCUGUUAUUACUACCCUGUUAUAACUACCAUUAUCAUUUUUAAGUUUUAAGUUAUGUUUUAAUAACACGAAAGGAGUAUUUGUAAUGAUGGUUUUAUCUUGUAACAUUAUUUAUUAAGUUUUAAUUUAUCUUUGAUUUAUCCAUGUGAGACAGAACCAUCUAAAGGAAAGCGUUCAUUUCUGAGUAAUACCGAACGAGAGGCCGUUGCUCAGAUAUUGUUAAGCGAAAGUCAUAAUGGCAAGCUCAAACGCGACACUGUGGUAAGAUUGGCUUCAACUUAUUCGGUCUCUAAAGAUGUCAUUAUCGAGUUUUGAAACAAAUACGUCAAAGUGGAGAUGCUCGCCAUAAAAAACAAAAAAUUGUGGUAGAAAAAGAAUUGAGGUUGAUAUGGAAAAAGCGCGUGACGUGCCGUUAGAUAAGCGCAUUACAUAUAAAGCACUAGGACAUGCCAUAGGUGUUAACAAGAAUAUAUUGCUGAGAAACAAAAAAGAAGGGAUUUUACGACGAAUUUCAAGUCCAUUAAAGCCACAUUUGAAUGAAAACGAUAUGAAAAGUCGUCUUAGAUUUUGCUUGUCCAAUCUCGAGGAUAGUAGCAUUCCUCAAGAACCGAAGUUUAAGUCAAUGUAUAAUGUCGUCCAUAUCGAUGAAAAAUGGUUUGAAAUGACUAAAAAAAACAAGAAAUAUUACCUUUUAUCAGAUGAGGCUGACCCACAUCGUACGUGCAAAAACAAAAACUACAUUACUAAGGUCAUGGUUUUAGCCGCAGUGGCUCGACCUAGAUUUGACAGUGAUGGUAACGAGACGUUUUCAGGUAAAAUAGGCAUGUUCCCCCUAGUUCAUGAAGUACCUGCAAUAAGGUCAAGUGUCAACAGGGCAGCAUGAACACUUGUUACAAAACCGAUUACUUCCAUAACUAAAGAAGUGUAUCAGUCAAUGAGCUUAUCCAAGCUGUGCAAAAUGCCUUUGACACAUUUUCUAGUAUAGAUUCAAACAAGAUUUUUCUGUCGCUCCAAUUAGGCAUGAUUGAGAUAAUGAAGGCCAAAGGAAAUAAUGAUUACAAAGCUCCUCAUAUGCAAAAAGAUGCGCUUUUUAGACAAGACAAGCUACCCACUACCCUAGAUUGUGAUUGGCACUUGGUCACUGAAACUAUGGAAUACUUAAACAAUGUUCAGUAAGGUAAUUUUUCUAUGCUAAUAUUUUUUCCUUGUUUCAAAGUGAUCGAGUAGGUAAUUUUCUGAUGGACUUUUGCUUAUUUAGGUAUUCAAAUAUUGAUUGAUGAUGGCGUGUGGUAUUGUUUGAGGAGGCUGGUGCGGAAGUUUAUCGUGAUCAAGCUUUGUUUGUGAUCAAGAUUUGUUUGGAUGAUACUAGCUAUGUUUUGUGUUUUUGUGAACAAUGAAUUGAGUUUACUACAUGCAACUAAUUAGCCUUAGUAAAAUAAAGGAAAUUGAUUUGUUUUCAAUUUCUUCGUACUCUUUUUGUUUGCGGUGCAGUAGUAGUAUUGAACCUUGUUUAUGGUUAUUUAUUUUAAUUUUUCUGGAAUAAUGAGAAUUUUGUAAUGCAAUAGUAUAAAUAGUGUUUAUUCUUCAAAUACCCAUAAACAAAUAAUAACGACUCAUAAGCUGAAGAUAUUAGCCAAUUCCAUUAAUUCAAAUAAUAGAAGAAGAUACAAUUCAUUCAAUUCCAUGUAGUAUCAAAUUAUGAAUGAUUAGCCAAAGAUAGAAAAGAAACACACAACAUAAUUAUUCAUAAUUUGCCUUGCUUUAUUUUCAAUGACGUCUAGUAUGAAGAAUCCACAAAAAUCUUCAGCCACCAAUGAACCUCUUCAUUCAAUUCUUCAUUUUCAUAUCCAAAGUCCAAUCCCUCUUCUGGAAAUUUAUUCAAAUCCAAAUCAACCCUGUUCAAAUCCAAAAACCUUAUAUCAUAGGGUUCAAUAACUUGCAAAUCUAAACCAUGUUUCUCCUCCCUUGCAUUAGAUUCACCUUCCAUUCCAUUUGAUGACUUUGUUUUUUUGCAUUUUACCUCGUUAUCAUUUUGAGAAAUUACUUCUUGAUCUUGGUCACUCUCCACCUCUUUAUCUAAUGUGUCUUCCACAAUAAGAAGUGACAAAUUCUUUGUGUCUUCUUCAAUUCCCAAAUCAAAUGAUGGUCCAUCAAACAAAGGUUG
rnacentral:lncRNA from 1 species